rnacentral:lncRNA from 1 species
AAAAAAAAAAAAGUUAAACAGGGUGGGGUGGGGUGAGUAUGAGAAUUUAUCAUACUCGCCCUGUCCUAUCUCGUUUAAUUUUUUAAAUGGGACGAGGAUGGGAGUUGUUUCGAAUAAACGAGACGGGGUUGGGAUGGGGGUGACCCACCCCGAACCCACCCUAUUGUCAUUCCUAUUCUUGACCCUAAUGCUUCCAAUUUAUGAAGCCAUGGAUGGAGGCAAUUUUCAAUAGACGUAUGUAUGGGAAUAAUAUUUUCACAAAUGUUAAACAUCAAUUUUCUUUUUGUUUUUCUUUUUUUUAAUAAGAUAUAAAUAAGUUUUCAAAGUAAAAUGUUAAUGAAUAUUAAAAUCAUUUUUUGGUUGACUAUAAAUAGAACUUAUAAAUAAAUCUUAAAUGGGUUAAAAAUAUAAGACAAAGUUAUUAUUUAAAUUGUUCAAAUUUUGAAAGUUAAAUUUAAGUAGUAAUAAUAAAAUCUUUACCCAAAGAUUUGCCUAAAGAUUUGUUCAUUUUAAUUAUCUUGUCAAGUAUCAUUAAAAUUAGUUUACUAAAGUUUUCAAGAUUGGAAUAUUAAUAAAGAGAAAAAAAAUAUGUGUAUAUAUAUAUAUAUAAGAAAAGAAAAAGAAUAAAAAAAAUUAUAAAUUUCUUUUUUUAAAAAAAACUUGACCAUCCAUAUUAAAAAAAAAUGGGGAGGGAAAAUUGAAUUAUUAUAAAAAUGUACUUUCCUCAAACUUUGAUUUUAAUUUUUUUUUUUAAGGUUUUUUUCUCAUAUUUUCCUUUGGAUAUUCAAAUAUAAGAAAAUAUAAUUUUCUUUUAUUGGACUCCAAUAAAGAGUAUGUAUCCAAUGCAUGAAAAUAAAUUUUAUUCAAAAGAGUUUUAUUAAAAAGUAAAUGUAAUUGCUAAAAGUGUUUGAUCAAAAUUCUUCAAAUAACUUUAUUUUUCUUUCAACAUGAAUUAUAAUUUUCAACAUUUUCUAAAAAGUUUGAAUGUUUAUAUUUCUUUCUCAAACAAAUUGGUAAAAUUUAUUCAACAUUUUUUUAAAAUAUUUGAACUAUCAUGACUUCUAAUAUAAGUGUGGCUUAAAUAUGAUUUUAAAGGGAAUAAAAUUAUACCUAUACCCUAUAUUAUAUAUAAAAUGUGGGUGCUUGUAAAAUAUUUUUUUGGUUUAAAACAAUCCCACUAAAAAAAAAAUGCUUCUUUUGUAUUAAAAUCAGUUCAUUAUAGUUUUCAAGAUUGGAAUAUCAAUAAAGAAAAAGAAAUCUAACAAGAGAAAAAGAUAGAGGAAAAACUAUAAAUUUUCUUUUCUAUGAAAUUUGACUGAAAACUUAGGGGAAAUAAAUAAAUAAAUUAUUAUAAAAAUGUAUUUUUCUCAAUCUUUUGUUUCCCAUUUUUUCUUUUUUCUUUUUUCGAGGUUUUUUCUCUCCUAUGAUAUUCAAACAUAAGAAAAUAUAUCAUUUAUUUUUAUUAAUCACUGAGAGUAUGAGUUAAGAAAAAAGUGAAAAACUAUCCUAAUAAGUUCUUUUCUAUGUUUCGUACCCAAGUUGUAAGGCAAGCAAACAUGGACGCCUAAAAUAAAAUUUUCAAAGCAAAAACACAUGCUCAAAAUCUUCAUCAAAUACUCUAUUUAGAUGCUUAAAAAAAAUUAAAAUAAAGCAACGAAGCAAACUAAGGUGGUGUUUGGUUUUUACUUAAUUCUAAAUAAAACUUUAAUGUUUAAUAGUGUUAAAUAUCAGGUUGUUUGUUUUUGUAAUAUUUUAUUUCUAUUAAAUAUUAAAAUAUAAGGAAAAAUCAAUAUGUUUUUUUUUUAUAAAAAUAUAAAUAUUUUGGUUUUCUCUAUUCAUUAAAAAGUUUAUAAUAAGUUAUGAAAAAUAAAAAAAAAAUAAACUACCUAAAGUCUAAGAACAAAUUACUUUCAAUAAAAAGUUAAAAAAAAACAAACACUUCUAAUCCAACAUCCUCGUGAAUCUCUUGAUAAAUGUUAACAAGACACAAUUUAGAAUCAUAAACGACUUGUGAAGAAAGUUAAUAAAUAAAUAAAUAAGGAAAAAAAACCGAUAUUAAUGAUAUUAGGUUUUCGCUUAUGAUCUUUGUGGGUGUUGAUUUCCUAAUCAACCACGAAACAAAAUUUAUUUUACGGCAAUAAAUAAUAAAUAAUAAUAAUAAAUUCAAAUCAUUCUCCUACUUUCCAUCUACAUUCUUAUCAAUCAAUUAGAGGAGUAAAAGAAAAGCAAAGGGAAAAAAUUUAUCUAUUUUGGCUACCUGGACGUGUUUCUUCUCUAUUUUUCGUCUAUUGGCUUUACUUUGGCUUUUGAUUUAAUCUUGCAUAUAGAAGGGGAAGUCAAGAAUGCUAGUUAGAAUGAUGGUGGUAGGAUUGGCAACGGGGUGGGUUUGGGCGGGGCCACCCUACCCCAUUCCCGUCCCAAUUAUAUAAAUCUGUUUCUCAUCUCCGUCCCAUACCUGGGGUGGGGUGGGGCAGGUUAAUGGGAUCCCAUCCCCGUUUCUCUCGAGGCGGGGUGGGGUCAGGUGCUGGCCCAUGCUGCCGGGACCAUCAACAGCAUCUUCCAAUUCCGCAAGACAAUUCCCACUCAACACCUGCGCAAAGCAGUUCAAACGCCCGUUCAUCAUCACCUGGUAGUGCCCAGAAUCGUGCCCAAUCCACCCACUCUGAAUCCAAAAAAGGCCCAUCAACGCACCACUGGCAAGAUGAACCCAUGUGUUGUCACACCCCAGAACCCCAUAAAUACAGGCGGAGAACAUCACCGCCAUCGCACAGAGUGUGACGAACACCCCAUGCCCCUUUUUCUCAAACAACCCCAUCUUCAAAAACUCAUACACCAACCUCCUAUAAUCCUUCGACACCUCCGAAACAAUGUAAUCCUUGAGAUGAAACCCAAUAAAGAAAUCGUCCAAACGGCUCCACAAAACCCCGGGAUGGUAGGCCACAAAAGCAUCAGUAGCAUCCUGGCCGGCAAGACUCAGCAAUGGAGCAGACCCACCUAGGUGCUCUUUCGCCUAAUCAGACACAUUAUAGAUCUUUCCCUGUAUAGAGAUCCAUAGAUCCCCAACCCUGCUGUGGGUCUUGAGCUCUUCCUUUGAAAUGUACCUCUUUGUCGCUGCCAUUUCAGAGAGAGAUCUGGGAACAAUGUCUCUCUCUCUUCUAUUUCUCUCCUUUGUUGGUAAUUAUAAUUUCAGGGUGGGGUGGGAUGGGGCAGGGUGGGGCAGGUAACUACAAACCCAUACCCGCCCCGAACUCGAUUCAGGUUUCACAAAACUAUCUGAUACCCGUCCCAUACCCGAUUAAUUUAUUUCAUACCCAUCCCAAUAAGGGCAGGGCGGGGCAGGUGACCCUCUUGACCCGUGAAAUUACCAUUCCUAGAUGGCGGGACGUCGAAAAGGCCGUGCAAAAUAAUGACUAUCGUAGCGGGAAUCAACCUACUUAAACUGAAAUGAUUUUAUCGGAAUAAUGUACAUUGCAAGGAUUUGGUGAAUACAAAAAUGAAAUAAAUCUUUUUUACAAUGUUUUUCAAAAUCGAAGAGGUGCUUAAAUCAAAAAAAUUAUUGGUUCACGAUUCAUUGGUCAAAUCAGUGGUCAAACCACUGAUACGUUAUAAAUAAUAAUUUUUAUAUUAUAUAAAAUUUUAAAUAAUUAUAAAAAAAUUAAAAUUAUUUAUAAUUAAAACUUUAAUAAUAUAUCAUUUUUAUAUUUGACAUAUCAAAUUAAAUAAUGAAGAGAAAUAUAAAUAUAUUAAUAUUUUAAAUUUUAUUAAAUCGAACAUAUAUAAUAUUUAAAUAUAAAGAUAUAUUUAAAAUGAAAAAAAAUCUAAUAUUUAAUUUUAUUCCCAUGUCUUUUAUAUUUUAUUAUUUUGAAAUUAUUAUAUUAAUUAAUUUAUAUUAUUUUUAUAAUUACAUUAUAUAAUUACUAUAAAAAUAAACAUGAAAGGGUUUUAUACAAGAAAAAAUUGAAAAAAUAUUAAUUUUGUUAUAUAAUUUUAUUUGCAAAUAUAAUAUAAUGAAGAAACUUCAUAGGUUAGUGGUUAAACUUCAAUUUUUACACCUAAAAGUCCUAACUCAAGCUCUUCAACUUGCAAAAAAAAUUUAUUCUCACUAACUAAUCCCACAUCGAAAAUGGAUAAAAAAAUAUGUAGGGAUUGUGAGGUAUAAAAGGCAUGCAAUAAUCAUUAAUUUGCAAGACUAAAGUUUAUUGGGUUUGAUGACAAGUGGGUUGGAUGGGCUCCUCAUGGAGUGAUACGGUUCCCUUAAGAAAAUAUUUUUUUGUCUUAAAAAAAAAAAAAAACCUUUUAUACUGAGUAAAACGACAUCGUUUUGGUAAGGUUAAAAAAGAAAUUAAAUAGUUGGACUAGUUGAUUCAUCCGAUUUGUUGAUCGGACCGUCGAUUCAUCCGAUCCAAUCUUAAUUCAACCUUCUAUCAACUCAAUUAACUGGACCAAACCGAAAUCGUGACCAUUCGGCAAUCGGAUUGGUCGAACCAGUCGGUCCAAUCCAAUUUUUAAAACCAUGCUUUUUUUAGUGGGAUUGUUUAAUAUAAACAAAAAAGGUUUUAUAAUUUAUGAUAGGAGAGAAUGAAUAUAUGGUAAGAGAGAAUGGACCAACUUAAAUUAAAAUUAUAAUAGGGGGGAAUUAACUAUUGUGAACUAAAAAAGUUUCAUCAUAACAUAUGUUGUAGAUGUUUAGUGGAUAAAAAAGAAAAUGAUAAUAAAAAUUCAAAUCAUAAAUAGAUAGAUUUAUUUAUAUCUGUAAGACCUUAGAUGCUACUAAUUCUCCUAAAAACAAUUGUUGUUAGUAAAGACGCAUACCCUAACCUUAUAGUGUAUUUACCCAAGCUCCCACGACGAACACAAAGGGAGUUGAUGAAUGAGACCAACCCUCUGAUCUGCCAACAAUCCCACCUCCCCUCCCCAGUGACACCCCUAGAGUUCAAACUCAUGACUUCGGCUCUGAUACCACUUGUAGAACCUCAAAUGCCAUCAACUCUCCUAAAAACAAUUGUUGUUAGAAAAGACGCAUACCCUAACUUUAUAAUACAUUCACCCAAGUAUCCACGACAUACACAAGGGGAGUUUGAUGGAUGCGACCAACCCUUUGAUCUGCCAACAAUAUCCUUUUUUUGAUUAUAUACAUUCGUUCAUAUAUUUUAAUUCCAUUAUUAUUAGUAUUAUUAUUAUUAUUAUUAUUAAUGUUGUUGUUGUUGUUGGAAAACUUGUACUUUGGGCCUCCCAUUUGUAAAUAAUAUAGUUUUCAAAUCCAAAAAAUAUGAAAUAUUAGAAUCAGUCGUUAAUGUGCUAAAUAAUAUGGGUUUUGUGCACUUUGUCCUAACUCAUUUUUAUAUGCCCAGAUUGCCCUCACCCAUUUCCAUGUCAAUAGCCACAUUAACUAAUAGUUUCAAAAAAAAAAAAAAAAAACAAAUAAUUAUUCAGUUUGAAAUUUGGGUUACACACUUAACCUGGAACCAUAUCAAAUUUCCCAAAUCUAAAACUUCUUCAUCUCAAAGUUGUCGAACAUUUCUCUCCUCACUAUCUCUCAUUUUAGAAAGCAAACCUUAAUCCUAAAUUGCAAUCUACAUUUUUUUUUUCUCCACUUUCUCAAUAACCAAAUAUGCAUUUCAUCAUAAGAACAUCCAAUUAAAAGAAGGCUUGAAGAGGUGUAGCUGUGACUCUAAUUUUGUUAUAGCAGAGCAGACUUGAACGAAAAAGUGAACUUUGAAAUAUUGGCUUCCUGAAUAAGAUAUUUCUUUUUCCUCUCAUUCAGUUGCAUUUUGCCCUAAACCCAACCCAAAAUUUGAAGGUAAUUAAUUUUUAUUAAGUGCUCUUUAGCUCAUUUGUUUCAAAUGGAGCACGUAAGCUAUUCUGGAGUCGUUCUUGGACUCCAACUUUUGUCUACAACCAUGAGGUGAUAGCUUUACGUGUAGGUGGAUCUUCAACUGCAUGAUUGUCGAUUUGAUACCAAUCUUUUUCUAGAUCGAAGACUCAUGAAAUGAAAAAUUAAAGUGGUAGUUUCUUUUUGAUGGUCGAAAGAAUGUUCUAGAGAUAUCUAGAAAUUGGAUGGAAGUCCUUGAGUUUUGUAGACUUUUUUAAAGUCCAAAGCCUAUGGUGUGGAUGGUUGUUUGAUGACUAUAAUUAGGCAAGAUCGUCUUUUGACCAAAUACUUCAUAAUUCAAUCAUAUUUAUUCACUGAAAAUAAUAAAUAAAAAAUAAGAAUUAAAUUGCAUAAAUUUUUUGCUGGUUAGCAAAAAUUCUAGGUAGUGUGUGAAUUUCUAAAGUUUGUUGGACUAUGUAGGUUAAUAUUUUGCAAAGCAUCUGUGAUUUCAUUGUUUGUCUUUAGUAGAAAUGGUUUCAUUGUUUGUCUCCAAUGGAAACUCUUUCCUAUAGUCUUUUGAAACUUCUUUGUAAAGGACGUUUGAAAGCUUGAAUUUUAGUGAUGAUAUCAAAUAAAACCGUUAUAAUCUCCUUUUAGCAAUAUUAAAAAAAUAAAAUUGAUUAUGAUCAUUUGUAAGCUUGAAUUUGAGUGAUUAUAUAAGAUAAAUCGACCUAACCAUUAUGAAUACUCCCCUUUGCAAUAUUAAAAACAUUUUAUGUACAAAGGAAGUGUUUGCAAGUUGAUUUGAUGUUGAAAGGACAAGGGGUAAUGGAAGAUCCUGAGAUGAGAGGCGAGUAAACUAGGGGUUCCGAAUAGACUUUUAUGAUCUCAUCAACAUGAUCAAUUUUUGGUAAUGGGUGAUUGGGAGGAUCACUUCUCUAAUUUGGUGCAAAGCAUGGCUACAAUGUGGUUGAAAACCAUAGUACCAUUUGAAAAAAAAUAAAAUAAAAUAAUGCUCUUCUCAAAUUUAAAGACUUACAAAUAUAAUCUUAUCCUAAAAAUAGAACUCAAAAAAAUGAAUACUAAUUCUUGGGUUAACGACGCAUUUAUUAAUCCUCCAAAGAACAAUUCAAAUAUUGCAAUAAGAAUAAAAAAAAAAAAAUCAAGAAAUAAACUAAGGCAUGACCAACACUUCACAAAGUUGUCACUUAAUUUUCAUCCCAAAUAUGUAUUCAAGUUUCAUCUCUCAAAUGGUUAUUGCCAUCAUUUUAUCAAGUUUCAAAUCAAAGUCAAAAAACCGUCUAAAAAAAUGUCACGCUCCUUGAAAUUUUAUUAGCUCAAUUGAUACAUUCAAGUCUCUCAAGCAAAGACAAAGGAGAAAACAAUAACAACAUACACACAAUGAAUUUGGCAUUCAAAAUUAAGCAUGGACUAACUUAGUAAAACAAUAACAGUUAAAAAUGACCAAGCAUAGAAUCUCCCAUGUCCCUUUAUUUGCUAGUAGUAAUUGUCAUAUAUCCCAUUAAAAUUAAAUGAAAAAAUCCAUCAACUAGAAGUAAUACAGAUAAACCAAUUUCCCAAAAAAUCUUAUGAUAACACAAAUCGUGGAAAGGAAAUAAAAUUUUUCUACUUUAUUUAAAAAUACAAACAUAUAUUUAACCAAAACAAAUUUAUCCUCUGUUUCAUUCAUGCGAAAAUGAAGCCAAAUAUAAGAAACCCCAAAAUAAAAAGACCUUCGACCCCAAGAUUUUCUCAGUAGCCAAACAAAGUCUUAAAUGGAAAACUCACCUAUGAUUGAUUAAUCCAAAACAAAGGAAAACUCCAAUUUGAUUUCCAAAAACCUUAAAAAAUUUUCACCUUUGAUGAUAAAAGAAGAAGAUAUGGGUCUAGUUCAAUUUACUUGAACAUUUUAGGAAGAUGGGUAUCGAGUUUGAGUGAUCAGGUUGUGAAGAGAGAGACAGUGGGGUUAGGGAAAAAUGAAAGGAAGAAGGUUUUGGGAAGAUGGGUAUCUGGUUCAACUGGUUAGGACAUGAAGAGAUAGACAAAGAUGUCUGAAAAUCGGUUGUCUUUAGAUUUCAAAUGAGGUAGGAAAAUGAGAAAUUCUUUAGAUUUGGGAUUAUGACAAAAUGAGAGGUAGAAGUUUAGGGAAGAUGGGUCUCAGGUGUGGUAAGGAAGUGAGAGAGAGAGAGUUUCCCCAAAUUUGAGAUGAUUCUUGGGUUGCAUGUGUAAUCCAAAUUUUAGAUAUAAUAAUAAUAAUAAUAAUUAUUAUUAUUAUUAUUAUUUUUAUUUUUUUCAUGGAAACCAUCUAUUAAUGUGGCUAUUGACAUGAAAGUAGGUGAAGGUAAUCUAGGCACAUAAAAAUGAGUCAACACAAAGUGCACAAAACCCAUAUUAUUUUUCACAUUAACAACUAAUUCUCAUAUUCCAUAUUCUUGGAAUUUAAAAACCAUAUAUUAUUUGCAAAUGGGAGGCCCAAAAUACAAGUUUGCCUUUAUCGUUGUUGUUUAUUUAUUAUGUGUGUAUUAUAAAUAUGGAAAUAAAUAUAAUCAUUAACUAUAACUCUUAAAAAAAUGUAAAUAUUUAACGUCACAUUUAUUUUUAUAAUUAUAACUAUGAAAAGAAUAUAAACUAAUAAUGUAAUAGUUUUUAAAUUAUAAAAUAGUAGGAAAUAUAAUUUUUCAUAGGUACAUAAAAUAAAAUAAUAGAAUUUUCGUUUUGUCUUGAAGACAUCUUCAUAUUUAAAUACUGUACAUAUUUUAUUUAAUAAAAUUAAAUAUAUUAAUAUAUUUAUAGUUAUUCUUAUUAUGUUUAAAUUUGGUAGUAUGAAAGAUGAAAAAAUAUGAAAUACUAUAAAGUUUUAAACUAUUUAUUUAUAUUUUCAUAUUAAAAUUAAAAUUAUAUAUUUAUGAGGUCAUGUUGCUAUCACUCACUAUUCAACCAUCAUCAGCCCAACAAAUGAAUUGUAUCUAAUAACUUUUCUGGUUUAAUAACUUUUCCAAUUUUGUAAACAUUGUUAAAGCAUAAUUAUAUAAAGAUGUUUUAUUUCUUAUUUAAACAUACUAAAAAUUAAAUAGGUUGGACCUGAAAGCCCAAGGCGGCAGUCUAGACCCAGACCACCCAUGAUACCCAUAAGGCUGGGCUUGGGCUUCUUUCUUGAUGCAUAGGUUUAGAUCCUAAGGCCCAAGCAGUAGAAAUUAGGCCUGUGCCAUUGGACAGAGCCCCAUUUUUGGCAUGGGCCGCUGGAAUUACACCCAACAUUCAUCCUAAGGUUAGACAGCUGAUAUUAGUUGACAAUGGUCAGGUGGUACUUUCGGCUUGAUGAAGCCUGCAUGAAGCCCUGGUUUUGCAAACUGCCAAUAUAAUAUGCAAUGACUAGAUCACAUGGAGCUUUGCAAAAUUUUGCAUAUGGCCAUAAAAAAUGACGUUGCAUAAUAUUUUGGUUGGAUAAUAUAUAUUUUACUGUGGGUUGUGACACCAUGAUUUGUAUUUGGUUUCUAUGUGCAUCACAUUUUGAAUGCAAUUUAAUCUAAUUGAUUUACUGGCAGCAGGAGAUUAUUGAAGGAAAUAUAAGGAGACUUGUACUAGUAGGCAUAAGGGUCAUGAUGGGCACACUCCAAAACCAACUUUGUAUCGUUAAUGGACAUAGAAUACAAGACAAUGAACGACCGUAAUUUUCAACACGACUUGCAAAGACAAAGGAAGAGAGAAAAUUUCAAUGGAAGGUAUUGACGCUUAAAAGACAUUUCAAAUUAAAGCACGUAGGCACAACAACUUAGUUUAUGGCAUUGCAGAAUUCACGUAUCUCUCCAGCCGCGCCAGUGAGAGGUUCAAUAUCUCCCAUCUUUACCAUGGCUAAUGCGAAAUCAGAACUGAAAGUUUUACGGUUCUUGCUAUAUUCACUGACAAUACUGUCUGUGGAUCCUCCGCUGAAAAGUACUUGGUCUGAUUGAAGAAGACCCUUUUUUUGAAUGAGAUUCUUGAAGUAAUUGUUAUCAAAAGAGUUGGGUGUCACCAAAUCGAGGGCUGCAAGAUUGUCAUCACCAUCCCCAUUAUCAGCAGGACAGCGGCGUCUCCUGGUACUAGCAAAGCCCGCGUCAAUAUCAGUUCCAUUGUCGUAUAUCCUAUCCCGGAAUGUCACACAUCUUGCUUGGCCUAUUGUAUGAGAACCUGUAUUUCCAUUCAGUGAAUUAAUUAGUAUUGAGUCAUAUGAUCAAAAGUGAAUUCAAAUUCAUUCCACCUACCUGAGAGGGCAACCAUGUCUCUUGUACUCAAACCUUUGCUACCAAACAAGGAGAUAAGCCUGUCAAGGCUAUCUCUGAAGCUAGGAAGGUUGCUGGAAACUUGGCUGAGGCCUGAAGUGGUGGAGUCUCUUCUUCCAAGCUUCACUGUCCAUGUUGGCCCUCCAACCUAUUUCAUGUAUGCAUAAAAGAUUUGUCAAUAUCAUUAUGGAAUCCAUACAUAAAAAACAAUCAAGAGAUAUGAUCGUGCUAACGGUUAUAACAUUCAAUGUAUACUUACAGCAACAGAUGCAUCUCGGGCUGCCACUGCAAGAAUGUCAGCACAAGAUACAAUGCCGGGACAGAUGCUCUCCACUUGAGACUUUACAUCGUGUAUGACUUCAUAUCCUCUAGCUGAAUUCAAAUUAUUAGGUGCAUUUUUCUCACUUUGAAUGGAGGAGGAAUCAUCAAGCAAGAUUGAUGCAUCACAUCCCUGCAGUAUAAAUCUAAUGACUUAAAAUAAAAAUCUUACAAGGACAAAUAGUGUGGCUCGAGAGAAAGGAAUGAAUACCUGAACAAAGCAAUCGUGGAAAUGGAGACGAAUUAGAGAUGCCGCCAUUCUACGCUCACGAGAUACCGCCUUCCUUGUCGCUGUUCGGAUGGUACUGAGUGCCUUUGGACAUGUAUUAUCGUAGAAUGAUGAAGAAAGCUGAGCUUCACAUGGCAUGAUCGAGAGAAUCAAUAAAACUGCCACAAAAAUGCAUGCACCAUAAUUCCCUGCUAUUGAGCCCAUUCUCUCUCUCUCUCUCUCGCUGCGCUAUUGAGCAAGUAGUUUUGAUGAGAAGCACAAGCCUCUCAAUCCCUAUAUAUAGUACUGCUUCCUAACAGCAAAAGUUAUUGCUUGGGGCAUGACCCAUUGCCAUGAGAUUAUUAUAUAAAACUUUUAUCUUUUCGGCAGCUUGGAAUAUAGAAAACUAUGGAUCUCUCUCUCUCACUCUCUCUGUGAGCUAUUGAGCAAGUAGUUUUGAUAAGAAGCACAAACCUCUCAAUCCCUAUUUUUAGUACUGCUUCCUAACAGCAAAAGUUAUUGCUUGGGGCAUGACCCAUUGCCAUGAGAUUAUUAUAUAAAACUUUUAUCUUUUCGGCAGCUUGGAAUAUAGAAAACUAUGGAUGGGGGAUGGGGGGCUGAUCAGGUUCGCACUCUUUCUUGCCAGAUAUAUGUAAAGUUUAUUGCUAUGUCUUUCAAAGUCAAGAACCGACCAAGUGAUUUGGAUUCAUGUCUUUAUUUAUAUUGGCUUCAAAACCUUAGUAUUGUAAUAAAAAAUGUUCUUCACACACGCAUAUCUUUAUAUAUAUAACGUAUAUGGAACCACGAUAACACACACAUAUCUUCAAAAUGUUGGCUGCUAUUAAUUGGUCAUGAAAGGAAGACGACAAGAGAAAGUUCACCUACCUUUCCGGCAUUGUGGUCCUACUUGGUAGAAUAAAUAAAUAAGUUUGAACGCCCACGUUGAUUUACUAAUUUAAGUAUUUACGGAUCAUUCUUUGACAUUUUUAGUUACAUGUGAUUAAUUGUUUUCACUUUUUGUAAUUAUUCGAUUACAACUUAUUCUAAAGGUAUGUUCUUGAUAGCUUCGUGGGUACGUCCAAAAUCAAGUAUUGGCACCUUAUGGCAGCCAUGAAAGAAUAAGGCCGUGCACCAUGCAGCCUUCAAGAUUGAACAUUGCUAAAGUCAUAAAUUAAUCAGCAUGGGGAAAAGUUGGUGUCGACAAAAAUAUUGUUAUUUGAAUUUUACAAAAAUACGACUAGUGUUUAUCUCCAAGUUUUUACUUAUAUAAGGUUAGUCACAUGGGACCAUGAGGUGUCAAAGAUUGGAAGAGAUAAAGGGAGCGAAGUGUGAUGUGGGGGAACAUCGGUUGUAUGGAAGUAUGAAUGGUGUUUGUCUCAAAUUCUUAUUUCUAGGCGACCAAUCACAUGGCAUGCAUGAAAAGGUUCAAGUUUCAGGGGAGGCGUAAAUGCAAGAAGGGGUAAUAGCAAUAUGAUCAAUGAGAGAAGUAAAGGAGAACAAAAAUUUCUUAAUUUGUUUGGUAAGAAGUGGAACUUUUAUAGUAUUUCAAAAUAAUAAUUCUCACAUUAAUUAUUCAAUUAUAAUAAGGAGUCCUUAAGAUGAGGCGUGUUACAAAGACACAAUGGUUUGCCUUCUCAUUCUAGCCAAAAUGAGCUCAAUAUUUUUCAAUCCUGCCUCAACAAACUUUUAGUUUUAGUCAUUAAAUAAAUACCUCAAGUUAAUCUCAAUUUGCUCAAUCAUGUGAGAGUUAGUUAUGCAAUUGAGAUGUAUCAUCACUUCUGUUUUAGACUUUUCAAGCUCUACUCUUGACUUAGGCAAGUGUCUUAGCAUCAAGCUCUAUAUCGAGGGUUAAACCUUUAAAAGGGUGUUGAAGAUCAUUUGGUUAUAAUUAUACCAAAAGAAAUAUGCAAUCUUUUUUGUAAUAAGAGUGAAAUAAUCAUCUUAUUAGACAUACAUAAUGUUAUUUUCACCGAGGUGUAAAAUACAAGAGACCCUAUUGAUAUUCAACCACUAACAUAUAUACAUGUUAAUCUAUGGGCAUACUUGGAGCAUCUAUCUAAAUGAUAUAACAUUGUGAAGUAAAUAUAUAUAAGGAGAAUAUGAACCUUUCGAUGCAUAAAGAUCAAACAUGGGGUAAUAAUCAUCAUAUUAGUAUAGAGUGGCUUGGAACAUGUACCAUAUUAAGUUCCAAGAUAAUUAAUUCGCUAUAAUUGAUCUUGCCAUGAUGGAGCUUAUACAUCACAAGCUGUACACGUAACACACAAUGAUGGAUCCACUUUAUCAACUGACAAACAGGUUGAUGCCAACCAAAAUUUUCUUAAAAUUUGAACAAUUAAAAAAUUGAACAAAAUAUAUGAAACUUUUGGAUGAAAUAUUGAUAUCAACUAAUACUAUUUGUUGUUGCUACUUUGAUGCAUAUUAUUACAUUAAAGUUAAAAUACUGUUUUAAACUUCUAUGAAACUAUAAUAAUAAUAAUAAUAAUAAUUGGAGAGUAAAUUUUUUGGGUGCCACUAGGAUAGCUCGUGGUGAAUUAUAGAGAGGAUACACCUAGAUAAAAUUAUCAAAGUAGCUUGCUUAAAUUGAAAAUGAAAUUAAGCAACUAAGUAAGGAAAGGUGUGUAAUAUAAAGAGUUUAAUUGGAAAAAAAAACUGAAAGUGAUAAGGAAAAAAAAAAUUGGUUCUAGAGAAUUUAGUAGAAAUUUAUGGAAUAAUGUGCUGCAACAGUGUGAUAAUUGAGAAAUUGAUUUUUUAAAAUUAAACAUAAUUAGGAAGAUACAGGAAACAUGAGAUGUGAAUUAAUUAUUCUCCCUUUUGUGAAUAUGAUGGAUUUUUUUUAAAUGUUAUUUAAAAAAAAAAAAUUUUAAAAGGUCAUUUAAAAAAUACAUAUAAAAAUACAAGUUUUUUUCAUCUCUUAUAUAAAAAUACAUACAUUGAACUUACCUUUUUAAGACACCAAUUCACUUUCCUUUUUUUCUUUUUUUCUUUUUUAUAUUCAACCCGUCUUUUGAAAAAUGAAUUUAGUGAAUUGACUUUUUUAAAAGAUAAGUUGUACUUAAAAUCUAUGGUAAUGUUUACUUUUUCAAAAGAUGAAUUGUACUUGAAAUCUAUGGUAGUUAUAGAAUUAUUUUAUUUGGUGUUACAAUCUUUUAAAAAAUACUUGUAGUAGAAGGCCCUGGACAUGACCAUGAUCCGUCAAAACGCCUGGAAACCUCAUGCACUUAUUGCCCUAAAAUGUGCAUCAAAGCUUUGAUCGCCACAAAAUUGAUAUCAAAGAGCUUUCGCUACUGUAACAUGUCUUGAAUAUUCUCACUUUGCAUUAAUUUAUCUUUAUUUUCAUUGAACAUGACAUGAUAAUUUUUAAGAAACCAUGAUCACAUCUAAGGGAGAUUUAUAGUAGUGGGAAUAUGGGUUGCUACAUGCCAACACCCCAAAAUAUAUGAUACCUGUCUUUUAUUUAAACUAAGAUAAAGGAGUGACACUUACAUUCUCCUAUGAAUAAGACAACCCUUAUAAUUUCCUAUAAAAUAGAAACCAGUAAAGAAAUUAAUUUUGGCAUCCUCCGCCAAAUCGAAGGAAGAGAAAAAGGUCUAACACUCGUUAUUGACACUUGGAUUUUGACUGCAAAUCUUGUGAAGAAAUCAAUUUAUAGCACUACAGAGUUUUCGUAUCUCUCCGGCAGAGCCAGUGAGAGGUUCAAUAUUUCCCAUCUUAACCAUGGCUGAUGCAAAAUCAGAGCUGAAUGUUGAAGGGCUCUUGCUAUACCCAGUGACGAUACUGUCAGUAGAACCUCCGCUGAAAAGUACUUGAUCUGAUUGAAGAAGACCCUUCUUCUGAAUGAGAUUCUUGAAGUAAUUGUUAUCAAAAGAAUUGGGUGUCACCAAAUCCAGGGCUGCAAUAUUGUCAUCACCAUCCCCACUAGUAGCAGGACAGCGGCGUCUCCUGGUACUAGCAAAGCCAGCGUCAAUAUCAGUUCCAUUGUCGUAUAUCCUAUCCCGGAAUGUCACACAUCUUGCUUGGCCUAUCGUGUGGGAACCUAUAUUCCAAUGAAUAAAUUAAUAUUUAAACUUUUAUAUGAUGAGAACUGGAAUUGAAACCUCUUUUAGGGUUCCAAAUACCUGAAAGGGCAACCAUGUCUCUUUCGCUCAAACCUUUGCUACCGAACAAGGAAAUAAGCCUGUCGAGGCCGUCACUGAAGUUAGGAAGGUUGGUGGCAGCUUGGCUUAGGCCUGAGGUUGUGGAAUCUCUUCUUCCAAGAUUCACUGUCCAUGUUGGCCCACUCACCUAUAUAUUUUCAUUUAUAUUAGGAAUUUUUGAAUGGUACGUGACCGUAAUGGUAAUUAAUAAUGAUAAAUGUGUACUCACAGCGACGGAUGCAUCCCGAGCUGCCACUGCUAGAAUGUCAGCACACGAUACAAUACCGGGACAAAUGCUCUCCACUUCAGACUUGACAUCAUCUAUGACAUCGUAUCCUCGAACUGAAUUCAAAUUAUUGGGAGCAUUUUUCUCGCUUUGAAUGGAGGAGGAAUCAUUAAGCAAGAUUGAUGCAUCGCAGCCCUGCAAUUAGUCCAGUCAUUUAAUCUUCUCCUACAAGAACAUGAGAAAGAAAAUUUCUGAGGUAACUGAAUUGGCAUACCUGGACGAAGCAAUCAUGGAAGUGGAGACGAAUUAGAGAUGCUGCCAUUCUACGCUCACGAGAUACAGCAGUCCUGACCGCUGUCCGGAUGGUACUGAGGGCUUUUGGACAGGUGUUAUCGUAGAAUGAGGAAGAUAGCUGAGCUUCACAUGGCAUAUUUGAGAAAAUAAACAAUAGAGCAACAAAAAUACAUGCUGUUGAGCCCAUUUUCGCUCUUUAGUUUUGCUUGUGCAAGAGGGACUGUAAAGAACUCAAGAAAGGACGCUCUCUCUCUCUCUCUCUCUUUCUCUUUCUGAUAUUGAGCUACUAGUUGUAAUUAUGAGAAGCACAAAGCCUCUCAACCCCUAUUUAUAUUGCUCGGCCUAACAUGAACUGUAAGCUCAAGAGCUCCCGGUUGGUAGAACGAAUCAAAGUUUUCAAGAGGACCCCACCUAAUGUCAAGAGCUUAUCAUUUAAGACCAUCUUUUUGGCAGCCUGGAAUAUGGAAAACUAUGAAGGCGCAGACAAAGGUUCGUAAGUUGUCAUGUCACAUACAUCCAAAGUUAGUUGUUAUCUCUUCCCAAGUCAAAAACCGACUAAGUCACUUAGAUUCAUAUGUUAACUACCUUCCCUGCAACAUUUUCUUACUAUUUCUUUCACAGAUCAGUCUGACUCUUGCCUUGAGAUCCUAGCAAACAUCAAUCUAAUGUGAAAUCACAAAUCUUCCGAUGAAAUUCAUAUAUGUUUAUAUGUAUUAUCUAUGGGUUGGUAAAAGUCAUUUUCCUAACUAGCUAGAAAAAUUCAUUGUGGUUACAUUCACACCCACCUCAUCCAUGAUUAAUUAUAAGGCUAUCUCCAUCAGAAAGUUUAUUGAUCUUUACACACUAAUUACUAUGCCGAAUGGUAUACUAAUCUGUUAUAAAACGUGGACUUAUAUCGAUCGACAUGAGGGAAAGACGACAAGGUCACAGUUGUUCACCUACCUUUCCAGCAAUUUAGUCCCAAUCGGCAUGAUAUAUAAGUCUGAACGUUAUAUUCAUUUACUAAUUCUAGUAUUUAUGGGGAUCGUUUGACAUUUUUAAUUGCACGUACAAACAAUUUUGUUUUGACUUUUCAUAUUUUUUUUAUUGUGACUUUAUUCUAAAGGAACAUUUAGACAGCUACGUUAUUAGGAUUUACGUGCAAACAAAGACAUGGACGAAUAUACAUGCAGGACGUAGCCCACAAGAUUGACUAUUGGCAACGCGGACUAGCUGAAAAAAAGCGACUCACUCGAACCCUUGUGCCUUGUACAGCUCGAUGAAUGAGUUAGUAAUAUACAAAUACAAUGCAAUUGCUUGUUUGCUUGUUCCCAACCAUUAAAAUAUAAAAAAUUAUGAAAAUAUUGGAUUUUGUUAAAAUAUUAAAAAUUAACAUAAAAAAUAUGAGACGAAAAUUGAGAUAAAAAUUGACUAAAACUUAUAGAAAUAUUGAGAAAAACUUAAUUUAAUAAUAAAAUAUUUAAAAAAAGUAAUAAUACAUAUAUUAAUUUGUGAUAUUUGAUAAUAAUAUGUUGAACUUGAUAACAUAUUUAAUAUUUAAAUGAUAAUCUAUUUAGUAAAUUUAGAUUUAAGGAUAUAAAAGAAAUGAUGAUAUAUAUAUAAUUAUUUUCUUGUCUGAACCGAUGAAAUUCACUUGAGCUUAAUAAUUGUCCCAAAUUUUUUUGUUGAAAUUUCACAAUUUUUGCAUCCAUGCUUGUCUUAAACCAAAUCUAGUUUGGUCAACACAAGGAACUUACGAUUGUUAUAGCUAUAAGAAAAACUGAUGCAAUUCAACCAAAAUAUAUCAGAUUGGUUUGGUUUUCAAUAUCUAUAAAGGUUAGUUUGGGUUAAAGAUUUUGAAAACCAAUUUUAUUAGUUUAUUUUUUGGUUUUCUAAUCUACCCCCUACCGGCGAAAAAUGAGUCUUGUCAAAAUGGUAAUCAACAAAAUAUGUUGUAAAAACAUUAUUGGUUUGAGGUUUCAAAUAUCGAAUGAUAAAUGGAGAAUCAAAACGAACAUAAAUCCGAAGAUGUCUUUGAGGGCCCAUUUUAGUUGUUUGAAAAGGAGGAAUAGGAACAAGGAUAACAUAACUAAAAAUUCUUAAAUGAGAAACAUUUAGUUAUUGAUCAAGUACAAGUUGUAAAAGUGAGUACUCAUAGUAAGUAGAAGGUUGAAGAUAGAUUAAGGUUGCAUCAUGGAGUAAAGCAUAACCCCAAGUAGAGAAAUGUAGUUAUGUUCUUAAUUAGAAGUAAUGGCCAAGCAAUCAAUUGAAGUCAUUUAAUAAUAUAUUCAGCUAAACCAUUUUAUGUGCGAGCAUGAGCAACGAGAUGCUCAAUUUUAUUUCGAAGUGCUAUACAUUAGUUAAUAAAUGUUUCAAAUGAAGAUUCACCAUAUUAUCAAGAAAAAUUUUCUUGAUAAGAUAAACUAAAAAUUGUGGUCUUAGAUUGAUUAUUUGAGAAAAUAAAAUUAAUGUAAAGGGAAUAUUGUGAGUAAAAAGAAGAUGAACAUGAGACCACCUAGUUGAGGAAUAUAUUAAGACCAUAAAAUACCAUAAUAGUAUACUAGAAGAGUGGAUGGGCCCUAUAUAUCCUCAUGAAUUCUUUCUAAAAAGGUUGGGGAUUUUGAGACAAUACAUGUGAACAAUGGUUUAAUAAUUAAUUUAUCUUAUAACCAAAAAUAAAAAUAUCGGUAAUUACUAAUAUAUUGAUAUUUUGAUUUUACAUAUAUGCGGGAGAUAUAUUGACAGAUAUUUUGACACAAAAUAUCAAUAACGUAAAAAAUUAAUGAAAAUUAUGAAAAUAUUAGAAAAAAAACUUUUAAAAAAUUAUAUAAGAAGUAAAAAUAGAUAUUUUAAAAUUAUUUUUAAAAAAAAUAUAAAUUUAAUAAGUAUACAUUUAUUAUUAUGUUGCACAAUAUUAUUUUAUAAAAAUAAUAUGAUAACAUGUUUAAUUUUAUAAUAUAUUUAAUAUUAAAAUUAGGAUCCAUUUUAAUUUAAAUGAAUUCAAUUAUAUCAAAUAAAUAAUAAAAUAUGCAUAAUUUUUUUUAAUAUUUAUAUUUUUUAUAUUUGAUAAAUAUAUAGAUUAUAUAAAAAAAAAAGGCAUAAAAUUACGUUUUCAUAUUUUUGGUAAUAAAUUAAAUCAAAUUAAAAAAUAAACUAAUUAGAAUUAAUUUGUUUAAUAAAAUAAUCUUUAGUGUUCUUAUAUAUUUUGGUGCAUAAUUUUUAUCAAAGAGUAUCGACACCCCCCAAUACAUGAUUAUAACAAGCAACAGAAUUGUAAUAAUUAUGCACAUGAAUCUUUUGGUUCUUUAAAAGGUGACUGAGUGUUAUAGAUAAUAUGAUGCAUUGUAAAUGACCUUAGGUGACUAAAUCAUUCAUGUCAAAGCAUAAAAGUACUUUAGUCAUAGAAUUUUUGGUUAUUACAUCAUAUGACUCAAUGAGUCUAAUGGUUGUGUGAUUCAACCCAUAGGAAAAAGCAGGGAGCUUCUCUACUUAGGUGUUUUUAUUCAAAAAUGAUAGAAGUCAUAUAAUACUUUUCAUUAACUUCAUUCAUAGUUUCAAUAUAAUAUUCAUUUAUGUAAAUACCUUUAAAACUAAUCAGAUUCCCUUUGGAUCUAACUGAAUAUAAUGCAUCACUAAUAUUAAGUUUAGUUCCAUUAGGUAAAACAAUAGUAACUCUUUCAGAGUGAAUCAUGUUUACAAAACCUAAUAUUGUAUUAGCAUUAGCUGGUGCAAGUAUUAAGUUUGAAAACUACUUUUUAUGUCUAAGAAUUGUAUGUUGUGUUUUACAAUCUACAAAACAUACAUCUUCAUAAUGUGUUAUGUAAUUAAUCAAGUUAGGAUGAUUCGUCUAUAUGUUUGACAAAGAAAAUAAUAAAUAUAUAAAUGUCAUGCAUAGAAUAUGAAAGAAACCUUAUAAAAAUUUAAUGUUUGUAAACUAAAAGAACAUAUGAAGAUAGAAUAGCAUGUCAAGACAUAACCGUUAAUUAUAACAAGCAUGCCCUUUCUCAAUUAAAUGAUCAAUUUUGUUACUAGCAUCUUCAAAAAUAAAAAAAAUAAAAAAAAUAAAAAAAAUUGGCAUAUCUAAGUGGUUUGUAUCUUCAAUUUCUUUAUUAUCAACAAAGUUCAUCUCAACCUUUUUUUUUUUCUUUUCUUUUUACUUUUUAUGAGGCUUAGUAAACGUCAAUUAAACAUUGUGACAUAUGACAACUAUGUGAUUAAUGUCCUUACAUGCUACAUCUAUAACAUUUAUUCUCAUGAGUCUUUUUGCCUUGUAUAUUGUUUCACUUUUAUCAUGAUGUCGUUUUAGUAUUAUUCCACUUUUGAUGGUAGGUUGUAUUUUUCCUAUUAUGAUAACCAUAGUUUCCAGAGUUAAUUAUGUCUUCUAUGACUACAACCACUAAAGAAUGGAAGUAGUCAGAUAGUAUUAAUGAUUUUUCAAUAAAAACUCGUUGUUUUGUUAAGCAAUUAGAAGACAUGAAAUCAAUUUUAAAUAUUUGGUAAAUCUAUGCUUUUGAUAUUGUUGCUAUAAGGUACAUCAAAAGCAUGAAAAAUAGUAAAUGUCUUUUCUAACAUAUCUUUUUUAGUAAUCUUUCUCCAUAUUGCUUCAAUUGGGAGCUAAUCUUGAAUAAUACAGUUUUUGGCCAAGAUUAUAGUCUUUUCGUGGUUGUAUCAUUCUUUCAAAUUGAUCCAAAAAAUGAGAGGGUCCUUGAUCAUAAGAUAUUCACUCUUUAAUCCUUCAUCGAUACGAUGGCAAAAGAAAAUUAAUACUUUUGUAUUAUUCUAUGGGAAUGUGUCAUUUUCUUCAUUAGUGGUUGCUCUAAGGUUCAUUGCAUGGAGGUGGAUUUCAGCUACCAAUAUCUGUGACAAAUAUUUUUUUUUUCACCGAUAUAUUAAGAGUGACAAACUCAACUUUGGUAAGCUAUAUGUGAUAUAGUUUAAUCAAAAUCAUCAAAAUCAUAUAUGAAGUAUAAAUAAUAAAUAAUACACUUCAAAUAAAUUUAAUAAAGGAGAGAGAAAUUUUAUAUUAUAUAUAUGAGUACAGCUUUAAUUGCAUGAAUUAUUAAUUUAUUAUAACUUUUAUCUUUCAUAAAAAGUGAACUUCCCUAUUUGGCAAAAAGCUUUCCUUUAGAUUAAACAAAUUAAAUUUAACAAUGAGCAUCUAGGAAUUCGGGGUACAAAUUACAUAUAUUAUAUAAUAAUAAACAGAUUAGGAAAACAAAUUUGAUGGUCUCUCUCAAGUAUAAAAAAAAAUAUUAUUAUUUUCAUAACAUGUGGUUAUGAAUAAUGAUUAUAAUUUCAAUUUAUAUAAAAAUGUUAAUAUUAUUGAAAAAUGUUGAUAUUAUUAUUUUCAUAAUUUUUUGUUAUAAAUAAUAAUUACAUAGUUUUUGACUAUGUAUAAUUUUAAUUUAUGACAUGUAAUUUCUAACUAUAUAUUUUUAACAUUUAUUAAUCUACUAGCUUUUUUUGUUUUCCAUUCCAUAGCUCUAGACUAUGAAUAAUGAAAAAAAAUGAAUGAUACAGGUUGUAAAAUAAAAGAAGAAUAAGAAAUUAAUAGGCAGAAAAACAAAUUUCAAUGCUAAGAAUAAUGUGUUUAUUCCAUUAGUAGGUGUUCCUUUUAUAUAAAGUCCAAGAGGAGAUUUAUAACAAUAGGAAUAUGUUAUUUAUUUAUUUAUUUAUUUUCAGUUUAUUUUAAUCUAAUUUAAAUAUUUUUUUUCAUGAACUCUUACUAAAAAUAAAACCAUAAAAAAUCAAUUAAUUUGAAUGAAAAUGAAUUUAAAAUAAAAUUUUUAAAAUUGAAAUCCAGAUUUGGUACCCAUAUAACACCACUAUUUUUACUUUAUAACUCAUCUAAUUAUCAAUGGAAAUAAAUUUCAUAAAUUUCUAUAAAUUCAUGAAUAAAAAAUUAAAGACAACAAUUAUGAAAUUUGAAGUAGAAAUGAAUUUACUAUAGUUUUUAAAAAUUCAAACCUUUAGGAUAAAAUAAAAUAACUAUAAUCAAUUUCAAUGUAAUUUCUUUAAUUCUACUCCAAAAUAUAAUUAUCUCAUCUAAAUACCCACUAAAAUCAACCAUUCUAAUUAAUUUUGAAAUAUAAAAAGUUAGAAUUCGCAAAAUUCAAAAUUCAAAAAUUAAUAAAUUAAUAAUUGAUUACAAUAUUGAAGUCAAUUAUCAAUAGAAUUGAGUUUUAGACAUCCUGUACUAGGGGAACCAUCCUAACUUAUAUACAUACAACGAAUACUGGACCUCCAUGAGAGAGAGAGAGAGAGAGAGAGAGAGAGAGAAGUGGGGAGAGAAAGGGAGUAUUUCACUACUAGGAGUGUAUUUUGCUACCAAUUGAGGUAUAUAUAUACCCUUCUCUAUUUUAGAUAGAAGGCAAGGGUGUAUUUCACUAUAAUAAGAGUUUGUGAUGAUGAGAUACUUUGUUUAUAGAAAAUGUAUAGAGGUUACAAUUCAUAUUAGUGGGUUGUAUUUUUAUCAUGUCCAAUGAUGAAAAUAUUAAUAAUUACGGAUAUAUUGGCAUUUCGAUUUUACGAAUAUAUUGAAGAUAUUUUCUCGGAUAUUUUAAUACAAAAUAUCGAUGUACCUAAAAUUAAUCAAAACUUAUAACAAUGUAAGAAAUUGAUAUAUAUAUAUAAUUUAUUAUAUUUCAUAAUAAUAUUGUAUGCAUCAAUAAAAAAUAUAAAUUUCAUAACUGUACAUUUAUUAUUAAAUUAUAUCAAAUAUUAUUUAAUAAUAAUAUUGUGAUAUUUGAUCAUAAUAUGUCUAAUUUAAAAAUAUAUUUAAUAUCAAAAUUAUAACCUAUUAAAUUCAAUUGUAUUAAACUAUAUAAAAUAAAUGAUGAUAUAUGUAUAAUUUUUAAUAGUUAAUUAAUAUAUUAAUGAUAUUAAAAAUACUAUGAAGAAAAUUAUCAUGAUAAUUUGUAUAUUUUGGUAAUCAAUUAAAUGAAAUUUUUUUAUUUAAUUAUAAAAUAAUUAUAAUUAAUUUAUUCAUUAAAAUGUUAUUUUAAUAUUAUGUUUAUACGAUGAGUUUUAGUUCAUAUAUGUUUAGUGUGGUAUAUAUAAUAAGAGGCAAGCUUGGCUGAGUGGUGGGCCCAGUUGUGUUUUUAACUUUCACCACCACAACAACAUAUUGCGAAAAAUCGAUAAAAUGUAUAUAAGUUUUGAACUGCCCUAUUUUGACUACCGCAAAAUAUCGCGAAAUAUUGAGGAAAAAUCGAUAAAAUCCCAAUAAAUUUUAAAAAAUCAUUAAAUUUGAUCGCCACCACCUUGUGUUGACCGUUGCAAAAUAUCGGUGAAAAAUUAAUAAAAUGCUGAUGAAUUUUGAAAAAUCGAUAAAUUACCAAAAUAUCGAUACAUCGAUAUUUCUCUCCCAUAUAUCGUGUUAAGGUCCAUUGAAACACUAUAUCAUCGAAAUAUCGCGAUAUUUUAAUUCCUAAUUGUGUCAAAGCUUAUGCAUUCAACUAAAUUGAUCAAUCCAAUCUGAAUAUGAAUAAUGAUCGAGUAAAAAACAUAAACAUAAAUAAUAUUUAAUUAUUAAAUAGGUAACAUAUUGUUUAACACAUUUAACGUGUCUAAUAAGCAAGUCUUAUUUAAUAAUCAAGUUGAGUUAAGUCUUGAUAAAUCUAUAUGACUAAUGCAUUAACCAAACAUGUUUAUAAUUCAGUCAACCUAUUUAUUUAAAAUGAAUCAAAUAUGAGUUAAAUAGUUUGAAAUUGUAAUAAUUAGAUAAAUCAAUAUAAUUAUUAAAUGAAUUAAUUUGGGUUAAAUUCAUGUGAUGCAGGUUGAUUAGAAUAUUACUUAUUUAUUAAAUACAAGUUAUGUAGAUCAGUACACAAAUUUGAUUUAUUCUCGAUUAUACUCAAUCAAAGUUGAUAAAAAUCGUCAAGAGUUUGAGUUAUAAUAAUGAAUCAUAUCAAAUCUUAUCAGCAUGACAUUGUAUGUUGUAUUUGAGUUCUUUAUAUAAUUAAUCAUAAGGUCAACUCGGUUUUAUAGAAGUUGUUGGUAAACAUUUCGGAACACAAAAUCAAUUGUACAUUUAGAUUGACCAAAUGCUCAUGAUGCGGUGAGCAUAGAUUAACAUUAUGAAGUACACAAGAAUCACAACAGCGACGCUGACCGCCACGGGGAUGAGAUCAUUAGAAAUAUCAAUAAGAAUAGGGCAAUAUGGCGUUGAGAUCAAGCUGUAACGCGUUGUCAAUGUCAAAAUUUGACCCUACAUGCGUAUAGAGCAUGCUUUUAGAACUAAGCUACAACCAAGCAUAUAUGAAAAGUCAAAGAUAAAAUUUUGUACCAUGCAUACAGUUAAGAGUUUGAAACAAUUCCUAUAAAUAUCGUAAGAAUAUGUUAUGGUAUCUUUAGUGUAGUAUUAUUUUCUAAUUUAGUUUUAUAAUUAAAAAUUCAUGUUUAGUAACAUGUUCUUAUUUUUUUUAAAAAGAAAAAAAUUGAUAAUGAAAAUUUUGAAAACAAUUGAAAAAGUAUUGUUUAAUAGCAUGAUUUAAAAGAAAUGGAAAAUAGGAUAGAGGUAGUUUAAAAUAAAAGUCACCUUAAAAAAUUUGAAAAUAUUUAGAAGUUUGUAUGAGGUGAACGCGUCUUUUCUCUAUCAUUUGUUUACCUCAUUCUUUGUUAUAAAAAAAAUGACAUAAGUGCAAAAUGAUUCAUUGCCCUACGAAUUUAUAGUAUCUAACUCGCUCAAUAUGGAGUCAACCCUAUGCCCAAAUUGAUGUGGAUAAGGUUUUGAAUGAGUUAAAAUAUGACUUAAAUUAUAAAAAUAUCAACUUGAAAAUAACAAAGGAACUCCCUAAGAUUUCUUAGUUUUUAAUUAUGUUAAAUUAAUAAGUUUAUCAUUUUUCCUUUGAUGGUUAAGUUUGAGACUACAAAAAGUUAUUUAAGUAAAGACAGGGAUUAAUAAUUUAUUUGUGAUUUUGAAAUAUUUAUUUUUUAAUUUGUUAUUUCAUAAUAUGAUUUAUAUUUUAUAAAAUUUAAAAUAAUUAUUUUAUUUGAUAGACUGUAUGAACCCAUGGAAACCCGAAUUAUCCAUGAGCUUAAUGUGUCCCAACUUGACCUUGGGUUGGGUUUAAUGUAGAUUAAAUAUGCAUGUUGAGGGUGGUUUGACAUGGAUUAACCUUCUAAACCCGUUCAAGAAAGGGGUUGACACACUUUUUAACGCAUGGAAGAAUUGAAGAUCUCUUAUAUCUUCCUUAUAGGUGAUGAUAUAAAAUAAAUUCCCAAAUUUUUGUUUUGAAAAAAAAAAAAUCCAUUCAUUUUUCUCAUCAAAAGGAUUAUAUUAUUUUUUACCCUUAACAACUCAAUUAAUAAAAACUCUAAUUUUAGUAGAACAAUAAAUAUUAUUUCAUAAAAAAUGAACAAGAUUUAAAAAAUGUUUUUCUUUCAAUUUUGAAUUUAUCUUGAAAUUUAUUUUCUGUUUUUUAUUUUUUUAUUUUUAAAGAAAUAAUUUAUUUUCCUUUUUUUUUUAUUUAUUAAGAAAGGCUUUGAAAACUAAUAGAAAAGGGAUUAAGUUUUAAGAUAAAGAAUAAACAGAACUGAAAAUUUGUUUAUAUGUGUAGUUUUAAAAGUAACAAAAACAAAAUUGUAUGGGAGUGAUGGCCUCUUCAAAUUCAUUAAUUGGAAUCAUGAUGGUUCUUGCUAAAAAGCAUGCAGUGAGAACAGGCCUACAUAAAAUCUAGCCUUCUAAAUCAAGCCUUUUGACUUUGAAAUGGCAAUACUCAGUUCCCUGGGCUUUUGGUAAGGAAGAUGUCAAUUCUCAUCAGCCACACGGAACAAGCAACUUUGAUUUGUUCUACAAACUGGAAGGCGCUCUUGAAGGUUUCUCUACAACUCUCAGUCGUCCCCAUUACAAUGCCGACUUUGAUGAACAGGUCAUGCACCAACCUUCCUGUUGCUACUAUAAGUAAGGUCUCAGGCCUCUGCCAUUACCAUCAAGCCAUCUUUGUUCUUCAGUACCUUAACAGAAAGAGAGAAAAGGUUUCUUUUCUUGUAUAAUUAAUUAGUCUGUCUGGUUUCAUCUAACAGAGAAAAUGGGCUCAGCAUACCCAAGCUCAAGUCGGUCACCCUUUAUUUCUUAUGCAUGCAUUUUUCUUGCUGUCUUCUUUAUUCUCUCAAAUGCCCCAUGUGAAGCUCAGCUAUCUUCAAAAUUCUACGAUAAUACCUGUCCAAAAGCACUCAGUACCAUCCGGACAGCCAUCAGGACAGCGGUAUCACGGGAGCGUAGAAUGGCGGCGUCUCUAAUUCGUCUCCACUUCCACGAUUGCUUUGUUCAGGUAUUCAUUAAUUCUCAUGCUUCUAACUCCAUUUGUUCUUGUUGAAGAAAGUUAUUAAGUCUUUGGAUUAACUGCAGGGCUGUGAUGCAUCAAUCUUGCUUGAUGAUUCCGCCACCAUUCAAAGUGAGAAAAAUGCACCCAACAACAACAAUUCAGUUAGAGGGUUCGAAGUCAUAGACAAUGUCAAGUCUCAGGUGGAGAGCAUUUGUCCGGGCGUUGUUUCUUGUGCAGACAUUCUUGCAGUCGCAGCUAGAGAUUCAUCUGUUGCUGUAAGUAUACAUUUAUCAGUAAUUAUUACCAUCACUAGAUCAUUAAUCUUUAUACACCAACUUCAUGAUGAUAUUAAUUUAAAAUUCUGAAUAUAAUUCAAAAUAGGUUGGAGGGCCAACAUGGACAGUGAAGCUUGGAAGAAGAGACUCCACCACUUCAGGGCUCAGCCAAGCAGCAGCCAACCUUCCUAGCUUUAGAGACGGCCUGGACAAGCUUGUUUCCUUGUUCAGUAGCAAAGGUUUAAAUACAAGAGAAAUGGUUGCUCUUUCAGGUAAUUGCAACAGCAAAAGUUUUAACAGCUCAUCAUGACCUUUUAACAUGGCUAGAUACAGUCCUAAUAUGUUCCUUGAAUACAGGUUCUCAUACAAUAGGGCAAGCAAGAUGUGUGACAUUCCGCGAUAGAAUACACGACAAUGGAACUAACAUUGAUGCUGGCUUUGCUAGCACUCGGAGGCGUAGGUGUCCUGUUGAUAAUGGGAAUGGUGAUGACAAUCUUGCACCCCUGGAUUUGGUGACACCCAAUUCUUUUGAUAACAAUUAUUUCAAGAAUCUCAUUCAAAGAAAAGGCCUUCUUCAAUCAGAUCAGGUGCUUUUUAAUGGAGGAUCUACGGACAGUAUUGUGACCGAGUAUAGCAAGAGCCGUUCAACUUUUAGUUCGGAUUUUGCAGCUGCCAUGGUGAAGAUGGGAGAUAUUGAUCCUCUCACUGGUUCCAACGGGGAGAUACGAAAACUCUGCAAUGCCAUAAACUAAUUUGUACCCAAGCUUUUUCAUUCGAAAUCUAAGUGUUGAUAGUGUCUUUUGAAUGUUUUUUAAAUUUCUUCCUUUAUUUUGAUUUGUCAUGGUGAAAAUUAAUGUUAUUCUUUAAUUCUAUGUUGUAAUAGAGUUCUAUUCUCUCUUCCACUUCUGGUAUACAAGCUUCUCCCCGUGCUUAUAUCUCCCUAUGAUUAUAUGUCCUCCAUGGUCUCCUUGGUCAAGGAAACUACGAUUAUAAUGUAUUAAAAAUGCUAAAAGCAAGUGACAGAAUAUAUUCAAAACCUAUAAAUGAUCAUCAUAGUGUGCAUAACUGACAAUUAAAACCAGCUCAAAACUUUUAAAGGCGAUGAACAUUCUUAACCUACUUUUCUGUAAUUACAAUACAAAUUACUAAACCAUAUAUACAAAUUAGACACUUCCCCUAGAACCUAAAUUUGGAUGCAAAGAAUUAUUUUCUAAAUUUAUAUAUCUUGCUCAUGAUCCUCGUAUUUGGAAUGAAAGAAAAAUAAUAAUAAUAACUUGGCUCCAAGCAUCAAUAUUGUUUUUGUUGUGAUUGAGACACUAAUCGAGUAGUGGAUCGAUCUCUAAGACUACAUUUGAUUCUCGAAAUUGAGGGAAAAUGCAAAAGAAAGUAAAUAGACAAGAAAAGUAGAAGGAAAGAAACAGUGAAAGAAAAUGAAAAAUAGAGUUGAAGUCAAUAAAUUAUUUUUAUUUCUUAUUGCAAACUUAUUUUAUUUAUUUUAAUUCAUCAAUAUAAAAAUUAAAUAAUUUUAAAAUAUAUAAAUUUCUAAUUAAUUUUAAUUAUAUUUAAUUCUCUUUGGAAUUUUCUAUGAGACAAUCAAAUAUGAUAAAAUAAAUUUUUUUAGUAUUUCUUUUAUUUCUUAGUACUUUCUAGGAACCAAACAUAUCCUAAAUGAAGCAAGAAGUAUAAUACAAGAAAGUGCACUAGAAAAUUAAAGAUGCAAACUAACAUCCAAUAAGUUGAUAUCCUAUAAGUCAUGCCCGCAUACUACUAUGACGUCAUGACUUCACCUUAGGAUUAAACAAACAUUAAAUUUAACAAUGAUGAUCGAAUACUCUUAGAUAUCUGCAAGUAAUUAAGUUUAUUGGAUAAUACUAAUUCAGGAAAAAGAAAAUUGUCUUCAACACUAGAGUCGAGAAUUAAUGGUGGUGUUCCAUAGUCUGCUACUGUUAACACCCUCUUUAAAAGAACUAUUCAUGUAUUUGCAAUGGAUAUGAUAAAAUUGGCUGGCCAUAAGGAUAUUGUAAACUCUUUUGUAACCAGCUAGGGAUAUGGGCUGAUUUUGUAAUUUUAAUUGAUUUUAUUUUUCGCAUAAUAGGAUGAAAUUUAAUUGAAAAUCUUUAGUAACAGACCGCAAAAACGACUUGCCAAUUGACAUCAUGCCUAUUUAAUUUUAACCACAUGAAAAAGAGAAUAUAUGUACAAUAAUGCAAGAAAUCACAUGAGAUAAAACAACUGUCACUGUUAUUUAUAAAAAAUAUAAUGACCCUUCUACGAGUGUCAAGAUAGGCAAGAAUUUAAAAUUGGCCCGCCCGGAAGUAUCAUGGUCAAUAUUAGUCAAGACAUAAGAUGGGUCUUGCACCGUGUGUCAACGUGGCCAGUGAAAUAGACAAAUAGUUCAAGAAUCUAAUUAAAAAAACAAAGUGUCUUCUUCUGAGUUCUUCAAUGGGAUCAAAUCCUAUUUACUGGAGGUUCAAGUGACAGUAUCAUGUGGGAGCAUUGCAGGAGCCCUGCAAACUUCUGAGUCCCAUUUUGCACCUGCCAUGGUGAAAAUGGGAGAUACUAUUGAUCCUCCCACUAUGUCAUCUGGGGAGACAUGUAGGAUUUGCAGUGCAGUCAACUAGUUCUAGCAAUUCCUUCUUAGGCUUAUAUAUAUUUAGCCUAAUUUACUUGUUUCUUUUCUAGUGCAUUAAAUGCAUUAUUUGUUUACUCAUAAAAGAUUACAAGUAAUAUAUAUAGACUGAAAGUUAUGGUCAUUUUUUAUCAUUUAUUGAGAAAAUACACUGGAAGAAAAAUUAAAGUAGAAAACAUAGAACUCCACUCAACUCAACUUUUCAAGUACUUGUUCUCAAGGUCUUGGCAGUGCCAUCCUCUGGUACUGACUGGUCUGCAGACUGGAAGAUGCCUUUUUCUUUUCCUCCUUUGAAUUGGAGAGUCCUCAUUACUCAAAGGAAAUUCUCAAUUUCACCUAAAAUGUUAGUUUCUUGUUGCUCGUGAGUGGGGUGGCUCCUGCUGGCUCUCCACAUCGACUUGCCGAUUUCCUUAUCCAACAGCAUGUUUAUUUCCUUCCCUAUUGUGCUGGACACAUGGAAUAAUUUCAUACCCAUUCUUCCUUCAUACAGUAGCUUCCAGUUGAUCUUCAUUGUGGAGCUAGCUGGUAGUUCCAGCAACUUUAUUCAUAGCUGCUUGGGAAGUUUUCUUGACUUUUCUUCUCUUCCCAUUCUUCUGUCUCAUCAAGUCUUCGUUUGUUAUAAUUUCUUAACAAGUUGUUCUCUAUGAGCACUGUAGGAUCCUCUCCGCAAGGUCGUCCUUAAGUCCACCACUCUCUUACAACCGUUUGGCUAGAGGUGCCAUAUGAGAAACUGCUCUCAGCUAGAUGGCCCUACGGUCGAGUGACUGAUCCGUCUCAAAGUAGGUCAGACGGCUACAUCCUAAACGGAUACAGCAUGGCUAAAGCAUGACUGUUUAUUAUGCAUUUACACUCAUUAAUGUGUAGAUUGUGCGUCUGGCAUGCUCCAUAUUAACUACGGUUGUCAUGGGAAAUGUUCCAUUCUCAACGGCUCAUCAUUGCAAGACAACCGUUAUACAUCGGCAAUCAAUGCCAUCAGAUCGCACAAUCAAGCAUAAUUAAGGUGCUAUUAAGACACUUGGUAAGACAUUACACAACAAAAAGUAUAAAUAACCAUGUGGACACUACAAGGAAAUGGGGAGCUUUCUUUCUAAAAAAGAAUUCAACUUGCCUAAGCCAUUUACUGACUUUAGCAUUAGAAAGGCAUGCCCAAACCAACCAUGCAGACAACCUUUGUGCAGGGAUUGUAGUUGUUUGCAUCUUAAAAAGCUUAUACGGAAAUGUUGGCAUAUCUUUCAUCCAGGUCGUGGCAGCUAGACAAGACUACUCGUUCGGAUCGUGUUACAACAUUGGCGUCGUUUAUGGGAACUAAACCAAAAACAUAUUAGCAUGAUGAUCAAUACAUCUAAUGCAUCCCAAUCAACCACUGUGGUAAACCAAUUCCAAGCUUGGCAAGGCUAAAUGGAAAGAAAAUAAGAAGAAAAUGAGCAUCGAAUGCAAUCAUUGCUUCAGCAAGUCGAGCAACUUAAAUGGGAAAAUAGAGAGUUACGAGCUCAGAUGGCCGAUGGGCAUCGCUUGCAGAGCCAUUAAACCCCUCCUCAACUUCCAACCCUAACCAGAAUUGCAGCCAAACGACACGCUCAUCCAGAUGACACGUAGAGUCAUCUCACCAAAUGCAUGAGGAAGACUUUUCUUCUAGCCACUCUUCUACUCAGCCUGAACGGACUUAUUCUUCAAUCAAUUAGUACCACCAUGACAAGGCUACUAGCUCCAACAAAGGAAAGCGAAAAAUAGAACGACAAAGCUCUCACUUAUCAAACGCCAUGAAGGCCCGCUUGGGGCCCCAAAACCAGUAAACCCAAGCACUCCUGCGCAUAUCUGAAGCCUUGAAGGCUCGAUUGGGCCAACCAAAACAGGAGACAUCACCAAGCUUCCAGCCUUUGUAGGCGUAGCUACCAGUUGCGCCCGAGCCUAUAAGAAAGGCACCCUUAGGCUUUAUUAGCUGACAACUAGAUGAUAUGAUUUCCAUGCCGUUCGACCAUCAUAUCAUAAGUUACGAGCCUCCUAGAGGGUUCCAGGUGCCCAAGUGACCCAUUUGAUCAUCUGCUGCACUACCGAUAAUUGAUGACAUUGAACAUUGGGAACGAUGUGUUGCUCUACAAGGACUUUCUUACCAGCCUCCAUGGUUCAGCCUUGUCAUGGUUUCAUUGCCUCCUUCAAACUCCAUCAAUUUGUUUCAUGAUGUUUAUGAGGAAUUUGUCAAGCACUACUUAUGUUCUACGUGUAAAAGCAUAAUAUAAACACCUUGUAGAAUAUUAAGAUGCAAGAGAACAAAUUGUUGAGGGAUUUCAUGAAGCGAUUCAAAUAGGCGGUACUUUAGGUGGAGUCCUAUGGCAUGGAUAUCAUUCUUUAGAUUUUCAAUAGGAGUAUAAGCCCCAACACUUCGUUCUUUGAGUCCCUAGCCAAAAGUUGCCCGCCUUGAUGGACGAUUUGUUUAGAUAAGAGGAUAAGUAUGCUAUGCUCGAGGAUGAUGUUUGAGUAGGUUCUCAGCAAGUUCUGGUCACUAACCGGUCAACAAACAAAAAUAGCAAAGCUGGAAGCUCAAAGUCCCCAAAUAACCAGUCUAGACAGGAGGGAUGAAAACAAAACAAAUAAAAACAACAACCCCUUAAGCUCACCCCGUUGACUAUCUCUUAUGAGCAACUCCUUCCACUGAUUCAAGAGCUGCCCAAAUUCAGAUGGCCAAAACCAAUCAAGACUGAUCUGGUUAGGCGAGAUCGGAAAUGACAAUGUUCUUACCAUAAAGAUCAUAGACAUACAAUAGAGUAGUGUAAGAACUUGCACUACUUAGUGGAAGAGCUCAUCAAAGUCGAACACCUAAAGCAAUAUGUUUGUGCCCCUGAUAGACAAGAUGAAAGAGGAGCAACCCAAUAGGUCACUCUAUCUUCUACAACACCUAGAACAAUCAUCAAUUAUAUACAUGGAGGGCCCGUAGAUGACAAGUAUCACUCCCAAAGAUAGAGGCGAAGGCUAGUUUGUGUAGCCUUUGUCAGAAAAAAAGUGCAUACUGUUCAGUGCACGUUCACUGAUGAUACUGUUUGACCAAUAGAUGGGCCCAUUACUUUCCCUCCCAUUGAUUCCAACUAAGUAAUCCUACCACACGAGAAUGCUCUGGUCCUAACACUUAGAGUUGAUGGCUUUGAUGUGCACAAAAUUCUCGUUGAUCCAAGAAGCUCUACCAACCUCCUACGAAUGUCAACUUAUAGGCAAAUAGGGUAUUCUCUGUCUGCUUUAGAAAAUCCUGGCCAGGUUUUGACUGGAUUCAAUAGAGCCUCAACAGUUUCCCUAGGCGAUGUCAUCUUUCCUGUCUAAGCCAGCUCGGUCACCUCUAAUGUCCAAUUUUUAGUGAUGGAGGACUUAUCACCAUACAACACUAUUAUGGGACAGGUGUGACUGCACAAAAUGGAAGUCACCCAUCUACAUAUCAUCAAAUGGUGAGCUACCUCAUUGAAACUGGGCAAGUGGACUUGCUUGGUAGCUAACUGGCCACCCGACAAUGCUAUCAAGUGACUAUAGAAGCCAAACAAGUAGACUUAGUGUAGACCCUCCAUUUUAUCCUCUUAGCAGAUGUGACACUAGGUGUCUUCUCAUAUUUCUCUCUUGACUCGUUGUCAUCCCUUGGUGGCCCAUCGACGCUUAUAUAGUUUCAUUUUCUAAGCCACCUUCAGAGACCCUUUGUUAAGGGACUCAUUCGAACCCACAUUGUGACCUUGAUCACCCUUCGUCCUUAGGUUAGAUCCAACUUAGGUUCACCUAGACCCAUUCUGGUUCACAUGGGCCCGUUUAUGCUCACUUAGACACGCUUGACCCACUUGGGCCUACUUAGUUUUACUUGGCUCACCUGGGUCACCUUUUAGGCAUGUGUUGCAUGGCUUUCAUGACUUGUUUUCGUAUGGUUGCAUCAUUUUUAUUUUAUUUUAUUUAUUAUUAUUGUUAUUAUUAUUAUUUUCUAUAAAAAAAAUUUCUUACUCAUGUAGUCAAUUUAAUAAUUUGGUGAAAUGCUCCCAUUUGAUAUAAUAAUGUGGUAAACAUUUUUGUUUAAUUUAAAAUUUUUAUAAAAUAUUUUUAUUUAACCCAAUAGUUUUGUAAAAUUCUUUGAUUUAAUUUAAUAAUUUUGUAAAAUGCUCAUUUUUAGUCUAAAUAAUUUCAUAAAUUGCUUUUCUUUAAUUAGAAUACUUUUAGAAGAAAAAAAAAUACUUUUAUUUAAUUUAAUAAUGUUAAAAAUAUUUUUUUUUUAUUGAAACUAAUACUUUUGAAAAAUGCUUUUAUUAAUUUAAUAGUUCUGUAACACAUUUUUAUUUAGUUCAAUGAUGUAGUAAAAUGUCUUUAUUUAAUUUAACAAUUUCAUAUAUUGCUUUUCUUUAAUUUAAUAUUCUUGAAAAAUGAUGUUAUUUAGUAUGCUAAUUUUGUAAACUAUACGCGGAUGCAAGAUUUUUUUUUACCAACUAUGUUUAAUUAUCUUGAGGAGAAGGAAGAUUCAGGAAUUUUUGGGAAAACAAAACAGUAGCCCACUUGGGGAAGAGGAGGUUUGAGAAUGUGGGAGCAGCAACCCACAUUGGGAAGGUGAGAGAGGCUGGAUUUUUUUUUUUAGAAUUACAGAGUUUUUGCGUGGAAGUGGAGCAGGACCAUCGGGAAUGAGAGGUUGGUGGAUUAUGGAGGGGAUUCAAAAGGUUUUUUUAGGGAAAGCAGAGCAAGCAGAAGAGAGAUAUAAGAGAAGACAUUGAGAAACCUGAGGAAGAAAUGUUCUGUUUUUAGGUGGAGCUGAGGAAAAACCAAGAAGAAGAAGAAAAAAAAAAAGAGUUUUGGAACAGAGAGGUUCAAAUUUUUGGUAAAAAGAAAUGAAGCAGAAAAAGAUUUUUGUUGAAUCUCAAGAUGUAGUAGAAAGCUGGAGGCCCAACGAUACCUGCUGAAGAGGAGUGUCUGCAGAGGAAGAAAACUGAAAGGAAAAAGAAGGGAAAUGACGUUUGAAAGAGAAAGAAGGCUAGUCAUUUUAUCAACUAUAGGAGGGGAGCAUACUGAAGUAUGAUUGUGACAGAUUCAUCAUUAUUCUUCAUUAUCAUGUAAUUCUUCCUUUUCUCUUGCCAUUUAUGGGUAUUGUUGCUAUGGUCUGAAUAUGGAUAUCUUACAUGUUUGAUUUAUGUUGAUAUUUGGGAUGACAUGGUUUUCUUGUUAUUGUGCUAUUUACUAUUCUUCUUUAUUAUGUCAGAAAGCAACCUAACUCUGUUUCAUUUUACUGUGAAAUAUCUAAGAACCAUGUUUUUUAUUCUUAUCUGAACCUAUGAUCUCUCUCACUUGUUUUGGAAGCCCAUUGACAACCCAUGGAAUGGGACUACGUUUAAUGGAUCCUUUGGCUUGUUUGUUAUUACUUUGUUAUCGUUGCUAUCCCCUUAUGCAACUCAUCUGCUUCUAAACCCAUUUUUGGGCCCGUGAAGCUGGAACUUCCUUCACUCUGAUACUUGGAAACUGAGGCUAUCAUUUUUGUUGUCAUCUUCACUUGGAUCUAUCAAUGGUUUUAUUCAGUCUCCACCAUUUGGUGUAGUUACAGUUGAAAUACCUUUCACCAUAAGAUAGUGGCCAUGUAUAUGUGAACUUUCAUGGUUGAAUUUUGUAGAAAAAUCAUGGAGAAAAACGGUUGCAUUAAUGGAUAUUCAUGGUUGAAUUUUAAUGGCCAUGUUUGCUAAAUAUUAUGGAAAUUCAAGUGGAUAGUUGUUGAAAUUAUAAUGAAAGCAUGUUGAAAUUCAAUGAAAAUGGAACAUAUUGAUAUAUAAAUGUAUUGAAUUAAUGUGGCUGGUUGUGAUCAUGAUAACAAUCUGUGCUUCUUUUUCUUUAUUUUACCAUUUAAAGUGGAAGGAAAUUUAGUAUAGUUGCAUAGGUGAAUAUAAGUAAUCGAAAAAUUCAAAGGUGUGCAUAUGGAGAUCCUAUGGUUGUUUAAGUAAUAUUCUUAACCGAAUUGAGGAGGUUGCGUGGCUAAAAUUUGGUGUUGUUAAUGAAGAAUUAAAUGGCCAAAAAUUUAUGGUGAAAAUGCAAUGAAAGGAAAGACAGAUUUCGAUGGCUGCAUGUAUAUGAAUUUGGAGUCUGGUUCUGUGAUAAAUAAUAGAAAAUUCUGACGGCCUGGCACAAAUAUGUUUGCGGUUGCAUAUGUGUGUGUUCACGAUUGAAAUUCAAGUGAAGGUAUGCUAAGAUUUUAAAUGAUGUAAUCUGCUCAAAUUCAAGGAUUGGAUAUGGAGAUUUAAGGUUGAAAUUCAUGUCGCAUUGGUGAGUUUUAAUGGAGAAAGUGGUAGCAUGUGUGAAGUUUGUGGUCAAAAAUCAAUGGAGUAAGGUUUUGGUGGAUAAAUGAGGACAUAAGGCUACAUAGGUGUGUUGAAUCUCAGGGCUGAAUUUGUGGCUGUGGAUAGAAACUUUUUCAUGGCUGAAAAUAUGGUGAAGGACCAUUGAUAAGCGAGCUGAAAAUUAUGGUUGAAAGUUUGCUUUAAUUCAAAUGGAAAUAUAAUUGAAUUUUAAUAAAUUUGAAGGUUGCAUAGAUGAAAGUUGAUUGCUGAAAUUCUAGUGAAAUUAUUCAUGAUUUAGGCGUGGUCUUAAUGGAGAAUGAGGUUGAAAUUUUAAUAAAUGAGCAUGCUGUUGUUAAUGGAUGUAUAAGAGGCUGAUUUUAAUGGGUGAAUCAAUGGAGCUUUGUGCAACUAAAUCAUGGAAAAUUUAAGGGCUGAAAGUGGCAAUCAUGUAAUGGCUUAAACUAACCUCAAUGCAUGAGAUGAGUUCAUGCUAUAAUGUAUUAUUAGUGCCCGAAGUUUAAGUGUCUGCAUAUAGGUGAUUUCGAUGGCUAGAAAUUCAAUAAAAAUGAAGACUUUUUGGGUUGUAUAGAGGAGAUGAGUCAAACACAACUUGGAGAAUAUCAAGGCAUUAAUUGAAUUUUGGACACCUUGAGAGGAAUUAUCUAAUUGUCCCAAUUCUGAUUUAUCGUUCCACAUCUUCUUUAUUUAUUUCUUUUUAUCUCAUUAUUUUCUUUUGAAUACAUUAGAAUAGGUCGGGUGUGGACAAAUCGGGUCACACAUGAGUGUUGUUAGAUUUAACAUUUAGGAAUUCGUUUGAUUGAAUGUUGAUUGUUUGAUAAAUUAUGAUUGAGAUUAGGUUAUUUUUUCUUCAAACUCUUUUAUUUGAGUAAGCAUUGGAAAAUUGCUUGACAAUUGGCUUUGAAUAAAUGCAUUAAUUGGGUUUCAUGCCUCAAUGUUUGAUUGAUUUUCUCUAAUAAAAUGCAUGUUAAAUAUUUGAACUAACUUUGAUGAUCUUGUGAUAGCACUUAAGUUACGAUUCAGGUACGUAUACUAUCAUUCUUUAUUAUUGUGGUUUGAAUCCUUAUUUAGCAUGUUAGAAUUAGUAGAGUUUUUAAAAUCACCUUAACUUAUCAAGGUAUUCAUAAUCGACUUAUUAAUAGUCAUAUUUCCCUCAACUAAGCUAGUAGAGACCAUUUAGGGCUUAGUAGGGUGCUACCUCUUUGAAGGCACCUUCUUGAUAGGUAAUCUAAUCCCCGAACCUAGACUCAGGUUUUUCGCAGACAGCUUUUGCAAAAAAUCAAGAGUCCUUUUAGGGGUUUUGUUCUUAAUUGUUUUCCCCUUUAAAAAUAAAUAAAUAAAAGUAAGUGGCGAUUCCAAUUUUUUUUUUUUAUAAAACUCAGCUUUUCACUUUAAUAAAAAGGGAGUCUCACCAAUCAAGUGGGAACGCGUCGUGAAAAUUGUGGGUCCACACUUAGCUGGGGAUGAACUUGAAUCAUCAAGUGCAAAGAGUCAAUAACAAUUACAGUAGCAGGCAAAAAGAGGAUCAUCGGUUGCUGACCCUCUACUAUCUUUGACUUUAUCAGAUGAGGAAAGUCAUACAACCAAUGCUAGCUUUUUGCUAACAAUGGAGGAACGUAUCAACAUAGAAGCCUUCCUCCACCAAAAUGCAGAUAUCUUUGUCUAAAGUCACUUAGAUAUGUUAGGAAUUGACCCAUAUGUGUUUGCUCAUAAAUUGAAUAUUCUCCCCAACAUGUAUCUGGUAAGGCAAAAAGUCUGAAGCUUCUACUCGGAACGCCAAAAAAUAAUACAAACGAAAGUUGAUAAGCUGUUGGCCAUUGAAUUUAUCCGGGAAGUUGCCUAUCCAGAUUGGUUGGCCAACGUCAUCGUAGUUCCAAAAAUUGGAGGAACCUAGCGAGUGUGUGUGGACUAUACGAACUUAAAUGACAUUUGCUCGAGGGAUAGCUUCUCUUUGCCUUAGAUCUAUUAGAUUGUUGAUUCCAUGUCUGUAAAUGGAAUGCUUUCCUUUCUAGACACUUUCUCCAGUUACCAUCAAAUCCUUAUGUUCCAUCAUAAUCAAGAAAAAAAUAGUCUUUAUCACACUUUAUGGAUUGUAUUGCUAUAACAUCAUUCCUUUUGGGUUAAAAAAUGCAGGUGCAAUGUAUUAAAGGCUGAUGACAAAAAUCUUCAAACCUUUGAUGGGACGAACAGUGGAGGUAUACAUUGACGACUAUGUCAUUAGAAGUAAAACUUGUACAAAACACAUGCAACACUUGGAAUAAGCAUUUGCCCUAAUGCGGAAGUACAAUAUAAAACUUAACCCGCUUAAGUGUGCAUUUGGCAUCAGCAUCAGCAAAUUUAUUUGCUUUUUGGUGACUCAACGAGGAAUUGAAAUGAACUCGAACCAAGUGAAGGUCGUGCUUGAGACACUUGUUAUGUUCACUAAGAAGGAAAUGCAUUCUAACUAGUCAUUUUAUAGCCUUGAGCCAAUUUAUAGCCCAAUUCACUUAUAAGCUCCGUUUGUUCUUCAUUACUCUACAUGAAGCCCAAAAGUUUGGUUGGAUAGAGGAAUGCAAUAGUGCUUAUGAUGCAAUUUAGCAAUGCCUUACAGAAAGGAGAGGAACUAUACAUGUAUUUUGCUAUCUCAUACUAUGUAGUCAAUGUCAUCCUAAUAUGACAAGCCCAAGAGGACGGGCAAAAACCUGCCUACUACGUGAGUAAGGCAAUGGUAGACCCUGAGACCUGGUACUCUCAAGUAGAGCAUAUGGCACUAACAUUGCGUGUUGUUGCUAAAAAGCUCCAUUUGUAUUUCCAGGCAUAUCAAGUGACCAUCUUGACAAAUCAACCAUUGAAGGUCACCUUGCACAAGCUAGAUCUAUCUGGACAAAUGAUGAAAUGGGCUAUUAAGUUGAACAAAUAUGACAUACAAUACAAAUCAUGCUUGUCAUUUAAAUACUAGGUCAUCAUAGACUUUAUAGUCGAGUUAUCCCAAAAACGGGUGCAGAUUGACACUAUCAACUAUUGGUGGAUCUUGCAUAUAGACGAAGCAUCAGGAGUUGGAUUAGGGCUCAUAUUACUCUCUCAUACUAGGGAGAUGAUUAAGUAGUUCGCCCGCCUCAAUUUUCCCGUAUCUAAUAAUGAGGUUGAAUACGAGGCAAUUAUAGUUAGCCUCGAUCUUGCCUUGACACUUGCAGCAUCGAAGGUAGAAAUACAAAGUGACUCCCAAUUAGUGGUCGAGCAAAUCCAGCGAGAGUAUGAGGCCAUGAAUGAACGUAUGGCCCACUACCUCAGUAGAGUGGAAUCCCAUUUAGCUAAGUUGUCUGAUUGGAUAGUCAAACGUAUUCCUUGUAAAGAGAACGGAAAAACAGAUGCAUUUUCCGGAGUUGCCACUGUCCUACCCAUCAUUGAAUCUAUCAUGUUGUUAGUUUAUGUCCAACUCAUGCCUUCUAUUACUUCAAAACGGGUCCAUGAUGUGGCUCAUGUAGGUGUAGUAUGGAUGCACCCUAUUUUCAAUUAUCUCCACAGUGGUGAAGUUUUAGAGGACUGCAAACAAGCAUAUAAGCUUUGUAUUCAAGGUACUCGAUUUACUUUGAUCAAUGAUAAAUUGUAUAGAAGAGUCUUUGAGAACACAACCAAAAUAGGAGCUGGUAAGCGCCAGUCCCAUUAGGAAGGGCCUUAUGUUGUACACAAAAUGGGAGGAGUAGGAGCGUACCAUCUACAGACAUUAGACAAAACGCCACUACUCCGUCCUUGGAAUGUAGCAAAUUUGAAGAAAUACUAUCAAUAAGCAAGUUGUGCAUAAAUCAUGUUUGUACUUGAUUUUUGUGCGGCUAAACAAGCCAGAUUGCAAACAACUAAUAAGUCAGAUUGUAAAUGACAUGACCAGUAUGACCUGAGCCACAAAUUUAAAGAACAUCAAGGCAUAGCCUAAGCAGCACAAGCCUUAAAGCUCCCAUGGGAGAAAUGACAAAAGGCCUAAGAUACUUAAUGUUACUCAAGGCCGAAUGAAUAACUUGAGUCUAGCAAUGAAUAUGAUGGUGUAAUACACAGGCAAAUUUCACAAAACAUGAAAACCAAAUCAUGGAAACUCAUUGAAAAUUGUGUUCAUUUGUAUCACCAAAAAAGGGAAAGGCUAAAAGGCCAAUGUUUAUAUAAUUAAAAUACCUAAGUGGCCAAAAGAAGGGAAUAUAAAAGUGGCUUCAUCUUAAUAUUCACGGUCGAUUGCUGUAGAUCCAUUUCUCGCUCCUAAUCCGUCUUCUUGCCCUGCACCAACAUCCAACUUAGCUUUGUUUCCGUCGUUUGAUGGAAUGUUGGGUAUAUUAUCAGUAAUGUCAUGUUUCUUCAUACAACAUUGGGUAGUCGUAAAAGAACAUAUCAUCCACUUACUGUUGAUAUGCCACCUCCAACUCUUUCUUCUCCUUAGCAAAAUCGGACAUGGUUUACUUGAGUUCCUGCUUUAGUCGGGCAUUUUCUUCUUUAGCUUUGGUGCUAGAUGAUUCAGUAGUGGUCAUAUCCAAUUUCAGUUGGUGGAUCUCGGCCUAAAGCAUAUCAUUCUUCAUCUCAGCAUUCCUUAGUAAACCCACACCCUAAAUUGUCGUCUUCCAUGCAACGGCUUUAGCAGCUGGUAUAGUAUGUGCAUUAGGCAUAGAGUUGUCACCAGAUAUGGUGACCAUCUCUCCUAGCCCGUAGAAAGGAAUGUUUUCCGUGUCCUAUGCCUUAAGAGCAGGUGGAAACGAAGGAAUCAAUAUCGGUGAAGCAUUGGCAGCAAGCCUGGAGGACGAACCCUUUUUGCACGUUCUUUGUUUCUUUGACGAAGGCUCGAUUUCAAUGGCCUCGCCCAACCAUUUCUAUUGUCGCUUAUGGAAUCCAACUCAUAGAUUGGCAGUCAUUUCUUCAUUUUCCGCUUCUUCGACUAUAAGUGGCACAACUAGCUCGGUAGUUCACACCACUCAGUCUACUCUGCUCCGAAUGUUUUGUUCGGCUUGAUCACGGUCUCCUGAACUUGAGGCCAAACAAUAAUCUUUUUCUUUCCUGGUCGGGGAUAGGAUUUGAAGCCACUCGGGAAGUGGAACCAGGGGCUUGGCGUAAAGUCUCCUUUUGGCGUUUUUUCUCCCGAGUGUCUAAAUGAGCUUGUUUCGCCUCGUUGUCAGCAAGAUGGGAAACCUCGUAGAAAGGCAAGUCCUUCAUCACGAAGUGCUCGCCUAACACAAGGGUUGGUGGUGCUAGUCGUAAAAGAAAAGUGAUUACAAACGGCUUUGCUUAAGCAAAUACGAUCCUUAUGUUUUUUUCGGCAAGCAACACACCAUGACUCUAUUCAGACUAGUCAAUCUCAAAUAGUUUUUUAAGGCAGGUGAAUGACGACUUCUCUACCCACUCAACCAAGUGGCCCCGUCUUUAUUUGCUUGCACGGAUAGAGAACAUAUUAAUGAAGUCACAAUAAAGUGAAAGUAAGUAAUAGAUAAGUCCUAUGUGAGCUGUGAAAACAUUCAAUACUUGGAAUUUCUAGAGAACGUGUGGACUUAAAUAACUGUAGACCCUCAAUUUUGUCCUCCUAGCACAUGUUUUAUUAGAUACUUGUUCGAUAAUUUAUAGUUAGCUCCUUGGUGGCCCAUAUCUACUCAUACUACUUACCUUUUUUGAACCACCUUAGAGACUCUAGUUGAAGGAUUGCCUAACCCCUUAUUAUGACCUUGGCAGCCCUAAUUUAGACUUAGGCACUUUCCUGAACGCCUUAGGCCUAUUUAAGCAUUUUUUAAACCCGCUUUUUAUAUGACUUGCAUGAUUGCAUGGCUUAAAUGACUUGUGUGGCUUAUAUGGAUUUCUUUAUUAUUUUUCUUUUAUUUUAUUUUAUUUUAUCUUAUCACAAGUUUUCUAAAUCAUAUUUCUUGGCUUUUUGGGCAUGAGGAAACGGGCCGCCAUCUAUUUGGAAGGAGAAUCAACAGAAUUUUGAAAAAGAUGAUAUUUUGUUUUUAGAAGGAUAGCACAUAUAUUAUUUCCAUGGGAGAAUCGGUUAUAAAAGGGUAGAAAAUAAGAAAGGAAAGAGAUUUCCUUUUUUUGGAUCAGAGAAUUUUUAUUUUUGGAGGAGAGAGAUCUAAGACAAAGGAGGACUUUUUUCUUUGGCAGGAAGAUUUUUUUUCUUUUGGAGCAAAAAUUCACAUACAAAAGGCAAUAUUUUUUAAAGGAGAGGGACACACGCAAUUUCUUUUGGGGGAGCGGUAGAAGACCUGAAAGACUAAUUGGGCUGCCAUUUUGAAACAUCAAGAGAGUAUUUUUCCGAUACAAUACAGGUUAGUUUUCGAUUUUUGAUACCGUAUUUCUUUUUUUCUUUUUGGGUUUUAGUUGUUUGGUUUAAUUAAUUGUUUGUGAUAAAUUCUUUUAAAUCUCGAUUUCGAACAAUCUUUUAUUUUUCUUAGAUUAAAUGUCUCUCUUUUAUGAUUGCAAUUCAUUAGUUCUAUGCUAGUUUAUUUUUAAUUUACAUGAAAGUUUAAAUAAAGUUUAUAUUUUUAAUUCCGAUUAGUUAAAAUUCUAGUUUAUUUUUAAUUUGAAUGAGUUAUUGAUCUUAAAUCUAUUAGUUUAAUUGGACUUGUAAGGUAAAGUUUAUAUUUUUAAUUCCAAUUAGUUAAAAUUCUAGUUUAUUUUUUAAUUUGAAUGAGUUAUUGAUCUUAAAUCGAUUAGUUUAAUUGGACUUGUAAGGUAAAGUUUAUAUUUUUAAUUCCGAUUAGUUCAAAUUCUAGUUUAUUUUUAAUUUGAAUGAGUUAUUGAUCUUAAAUCUAUUAGUUUAAUUGGACUUGUAAGGUAAAGUUUAUAUUUUUAAUUCCUAUUAGUUUAAAUUCUAGUUUAUUUUUAAUUUGAAUAAGUUAUUGAUCUUAAAUCUAUUAGUUUAAUUGGACUUGUAAGGUAAAGUUUAUAUUUUUAAUUCCGAUUAGUUUAAAUUCUAGUUUAAUUUUUAAUUUGAAUGAGUUAUUGAUCUUAAAUCUAUUAGUUUAAUUGGACUUGUAAGGUAAAGUUUAUAUUUUUAAUUCCGAUUAGUUUAAAUUCUAGUUUAUUUUUAAUUUGAAUGUGUUAUCGAUCUUAAUUCUUUAGUUUAAUCGAUCUUGUGAGGUAAAGUUUACAUUUUUAAUUCCAAUUAGUCUAAUUCUAGUUAUUCAUGUGUUUCUUGAAAUUUAAAUGUUAGUUUUUGGAUGAUAAUUUUGUUAGUUUGUUUGAUUAGAAAGUCAUAAAUUUGUUGCCUUAGUGAUUGUUGGUCAAAUAUUUUUUUGAGGGCCGCUGGAAACCCAUGAAGGUUGGCCUUUACUCUCACCACUUUAACUGACAAGAUUUUCUAAAAUUUUUAUUUCGUGAUCUUUGUUUCCUUUUGUUUUGAUUGAUAUUUUGUUUUCUAUUUUUGUUAUUUUAAAAAUUAAUUUUUUUUAUUUUAAAACAAAACUCUUUUUCUCAAAAAAAUCGUUUUUAAAUUUUUUUUAUUAUUAUUCAUUUAAAGCCUUUAGAAUCAAAAUCUAUUUUCUUUUUAAAAAAUAAUAUGCAAACAUAUCUUAAUCGGUUUGCAUCCUUCUCAAUUUUCAACAAAAAUUUUGGUUUUAAACAAAACGCGAAUCAAAGCUUGUGGUCCCAAAUAAAUGGGACAAUUUUAAGCUAAAUUCGUAUAUAUUAAUUUGGGGAAUUGGUGAAACCCCUACAUAAGAAAUUUUUUUCAAAAUUUACUUUUGCUACCACCCUGCUAUUUAUCGUAAUCAUAUUUACAUUUUUCUUUUUAGGAAUUGUAUACAAGAUAUGUAUGAUAAUUAAUUAUUCCGAAUUCUGAUAAUUUUUGCUAAUUAAUUAGAUAAGCAUGCUAGGAUUUAUUAUUUAUUAUUUAUUAUCUAACCCCCAUGUCCUGAGGAAGCAUAUUAGGAGUUAUAUAUGCUAUCUAGGUACGUUCCCAAAAUUUCAUGAAUAUGCAUGUCAUUGCCCUUGUUUGAUGCCAUACUUGAUUGCCUCGAUGCUUGUUUGAUCAUCCUUGAUAAAAUGCAUGUCGUGUGUCAUAUUUCUGAAUUAACCAUUGAUGUUUUAUGAUAGUGCUUAAGAAGUGGUUCAGGUACGCACCCUAACUCUCCUUUAUUGUGAUUGAUCUCCUUAUUUAGCAUGCUACUUUCUGAAAAUCACCUAGCUUACUUAGGUAUCUACAAUUAAUCAAUUAAUUGCCCCAUUUCCCCAAUUUAGUCAGUAAAGACCUCUUUAGGGCUUAGAAGGGUGCUACCUCUUAGAGGUACCUUCCCAAUAAGUAACCUGAUCCCCGGACCUAGACUCAGGUUUUUCAAAGAUAUGUUUUUUCCAAAAAUUAUGGAGUCACAUUUUAGGGUUUUUCUUUCUUGUUUUAUUUUCCCUUUAAAAUAAAAAUAAAAUAAGUGGCGGCUCCAACUUUUCCAAAACUAAAUAAUUUUUCACAAAUAAAAAGAGAAUCUCGCCGAUCGAGUGGGGACGCACGUGAAAAAUGCGGGUCCACAAUAACCUAUCCAGACUUUAAGUUGAUCUGUUCCAUGGACCAAACACCAACACAUGUCCUUUGUCCAAACCCUUACUAAAGUUUGGCAGUCCAGUUAUGAAUUGCAAAGAGAGGAUGUGAGUCGACAGACUAAAGCAUUCAUUGCGGCUCAUCUUUAUUGUGCAGACGACCAACACCUCCAAUAAGGACAAGUCCAGCUGAUAUAAGGUGUCUAGCACACUACAUCCCAUCAAAAUUUGGAUGACGUUAGGAUUGAUGAAGAUAAGAGGGAUUCAAGAUAAAUGCAAGAAUUGUUUCACCAAUGAGGGAAUGGGCAGGCGGAGUCUCGUUGCAAACUAUUCUUUGGUGAAAUAGAUCAUAUUGUUAGGAAGCCUGUCUAUAGACAAAGCCUCUUCAUAUGAUAAUAGGAUAGAAAUAGAAUCCGGAAUGUAGCAGCAAGAACAGAAUUCCUGCUCGGACAACUCGCCAAUUAGAUGCCUCGAUAGAGAACGACCAGACCAUGAUGACUUAGCCCUGCCGCAUUGAGUUCUAUCGCUUGUAGAUGCGACCACACUUCUGUCCAUAUUUGCAAAUGGAAAAAAGGUUGAAUAAACACCUACAUGAUAGAAGUGUUAACUAGUUAACACAGGGACCCCUAUAAUGACACUUAACCAAAAGCUACACUCAUCACACAAAUCCUACCCUAAACGGCUUGACACAAAACUUGUUGGGCAAGUCAUGUUUAUACAGUGUCCAUGGUCUCAAGCCAUGACCUCACUUAAGCCCAGAAACGCUAUAUAACUCUCAAAAUGACAGUAAAAGGCAAACAUAAACUCCAAAUCCAUAAUCGGAUUGAUAUAAGAACAGAUUUCAGCAAAAACAUAUGGAACGCGCAAACAAAAACCAUGGAGAAAGUGCAUUCAUCAAUGAAGAAAAAAACCAUAAAAAUAGAUAUUGAAGAGGAACUCAAUACCUAGUAAACUGCGUUGUGGUUGAAUCAAAAUCAAAAGACCUGAAGCAUCUUCAAUGGAGAGAAGAAAAUUACCGAAAAGUAACAGUAGAAAUGAAAUGAACCAUCUACCUAAAAACAACCAACCUAUAUAAGGGUAUGACUGCAAAAAAUCACGGCGUCCGAAGGGGUGCGCCGCCUGACACCACACCUUGAUUGAUGUAACCCAUUAACGAAUGAGCAUGUCCCAUGUGGAUUUUAGGCAUCAUUCUUUCAAAAUCUCCAAAAGUCACAACUCUUGCAUUUGACCGUCUGACGUCUACUCAGGCCUAACUACAAGACUUGGGGGGCAUUGUGGGGGUCCCUCUCUACAAGGUCAUCCUUAAGUCCACCACUCUCUUAUAGUCGUUUAGCUAGAGGGUGCCAUAUGAGAAACUGCUCUCUGCUAGAUGGCCUUACGACCCUACGACCGGGUGACUGAUCCGUCUCAAAGUAGGUCAGAUGAUUACAUCCUACACGGGUACAGCAUGACUAAAGCAUGAUCGUCUAUCAUGCAUUUACACACCCAUUAAUGUGCAAAUUGUGUGCCUGACAUGCUCCAUAUUAACUACGGUUGUCAUGGGAAACAUUACAUUCUCAAUGGCUCAUCAUGGUGAGACAACCGUUAUGCAUUGGCAAUCAAUGCCAUCAGAUUGCACAAUCAAGCGCAAUUAAGGUGCUAUUAAGAUACCUAGUAAGACGUUACACCGCACAAGGUAUAAAUAAUCAUGCAGACACUACUAAGAAAGGGGGAACUUUCUUUCUAAAAAAGAAUUUAACUUGCUUAAGUCAUUUAUUGACUUUAGCAUCGAAGGGGCGUGCCUGGACAAACCAUCCAGACAACCUUUGUGUAGGGAUUAUAGUCGUCUACAUCUUGAAAAGCUUAAACAAAAUUGUUGGUCAUCUCUUUCAUCCAACUCGUGGCAAUUAGAUGAGACCACUCGUUCGGAUCAUGUUACAACAAACACCUCAUUGACCAUACUAGUAUUGCAGCAUGCCAAAUUCAAUGAACUUUCACAAGCACCAUUUGGGGACUAGGAUUAAAAUGAGAGACCAAAAAAAGAGCCUCUCAUAAAUGGCAUCAAGUCAUUAUCUAAAAUGAUCAUAUGGCUCAUAAAUGUGAGAUUGCCCUACAACUUUCAAAAGAUCACAUCCACCAUAUAUAAUAGACUUACAUGUAAUUUAUAGAAAGCAUUCAGAUCUAACUUGCACAAUUUCAACGGAUGAUGGAAGUGAUGGUGUCAUAAAUUAAUCUAGAAUACCUGUAUAUUGUGAACAAUUCAUGGAGGUAGCCAACCAGCUCAACUUGGAAUAUGCUCUAUUUCAGACAUGGUUUGAAAUGUCAUAAAAUUUUGGUGAAAUAUUGUUAAUAUUUCACUUAUUGAGUAGAGUCAACAUGAUAUUCCACACCGAAAUUCAAUCAGCAAAUUUUAUGAUGAGUGAUUAUUCAAAAACAUCACCAAAAUAUUGGCUUUUUUGUCAAUUUUUCAGGAAGUCAAUGUGGUCAACGCAUAGGUCAACUCCUUCAAAUUAUUUGUCACGGGAGCCAUAAGGAUUCGAACCCAAGCCUUUUCAACUCCUUCAAGUUUUUUGAGGGAUUUGAACCUAAACCUAAAGGCUUAGGUUGAAGCUUGGCUACCACUAGGCUAAAUCAUUAUGAAAAAUGUAGAUAUGUUAAAUUUCAUUAUUAAUAGAAUAAAUGAAUUAAUUCUAAUUAUUUUAUUUUAAAUUUUAUUUAAUUGAUUAAUAAAAAUAUAAAAACCAUCAUUAUAAUUUUCUUAACAAGUAUUUUUUUUUUUUAUAUCCCUGCUUAUCAUGUUUUUCUCCUUGAUCAUACUUAUAUCAAUUACACUUACAAAAUAACUUUAAUAUGUGUAUUUUUGCUUAUUUUAUUAUUUUUCUUUUUAAUUUUCCAAACAUUUUCAUGAAUUUUGAAUAAUUUUCAUCUCAUCGAUAUUUUUAUCAAAAUAUUCACCAAUAUUUCUGAUAUACCUAUAAAAUCCAAGUAUCGCAUUCACCAAUAUUUCAAACCAAGAUUCUAGAUAAUGUCUAACUCAAGAAUAAAACAAAUAUGAUGGAAAUCUGACCAUAAGACCGAUUCAUGUCGGGACAUUAUUGAAUUAAGACCUCGUAGAUGAGUUCAGAGUGAGGCCAUAUAUUGCAAGGAUAUUUUAGAAGGAAAAUCCAGCUUUGUGUCAUGCUACUCUUGGAAGAGUGAGUGGUGGACUCUAGUAGAGAAUUGGAAGUUUCUGCCCUUACUAAUGGACUGACUUCUACACAACUAGAUUAAUUAAUUCAUAAACAGUGGUUGUGUUGGCUGAGAAAUGUCAUGGUUGUCAGUUAGCAUUUUGAAAGUUACCCCUAAGCUAUGGAUCAACAACACUUCACACAGUCGCCCAAAUCUUAAAAAGGUAAAUUUAAUGAGAGUAAACUGAAGAAUUUGAGGAGAAUAUUAAUCACUAGAACAUAAAUACAUAGCACAAGAAGCGACACCAUUUGAAGGACAAAAACCGAAUCUCAUGUGAAAUAAUUGUUCAUCUUUCCACAAACAACUUCAGUAAGAAAACCACCAAACUAUGGAUGUUUGUCCACAUUCUCAGUCAAUUUUCCCCAAGACACAUUUUGAAGCCACGUGACAUCUAAAGAUAUAUAUGGAUUUGGUUAAUCCUACUAGUUUUUUUUAUGAAGUGGUCUAUGUGUCAUUUACGUUUUUAAAUAUCAAUUAUGGUUUAUUAAAUAAUUAAUAUUAACUAAAAUCCUAUUAGUCAGUAAUUUUGAGAAAAAAUUUGACAACUAACUACUCAUUUUGAUGAAGAGUCAAAUAAUGAGUAUAUUUAGAAGAAAAAAACUAGUACUCCUACCUAGAAACAAAUAUUACUCUUUCUUUUUCCAUCUACAAAUCAUUGGUCAAAUUUAAGGGGUCAAGAGAGAGAAACACAAUUUUCUUCUACACUUUGAUUUUUCUUCGAUGAAUCACUCACGGAUCAAGAUACACAUUCCCUUGAUUUUGUGCUAUGAAAAUUAUAUUAUUCUUCAAUCUUUGAGUAUUAUGAUUUAAAUAAAAGUUAUGGUUUUGUUUUGCAUUAUGAGAAUUGAAAAAUUCCUAACAUUUUGCAUCAGAGCCUAUGAUUUAAGAACUUAUAAUAUGUUAGGGUGAAUUCACAAGAUUCCAAUAAACACCAGGAUUUUUCUACCAUUUCUUUGUGUAAAAUUAAAUAGGUAAUAGCAACUAGUAGUAAUAAAUAAAUAAACUCAUGCAAUGGAAAAAUAAAUCAGACACCAGAAUUUUUACGUGGAAAACCCCCCAAUGCAAAGGAAAAAACCACGGGACCUAGUCCAAUUCAAACUUCCACUAUCAACAAUAAUGGGUUACACCUUUCUUCUCUAGAAUAAUCUUUAGAUGCUACCAAAUACAUCAAGAGCACAUAUAGCCUUGGAUUAUAUAAUCUCUCUUGGCAAAAAAAACAAGGAAAAUUGAAGAAAGAAUACCCCAAAACACGUUGUUAUUGUUCAUGGCCAGUAACACUAGUUGCUGAGCUCAAAAUAUGAUCUCUACCGUUCAAAUUGUAGCUACUCAAGUUUUGAAUCUCUCCUCCAAAUUUCAACUCGAUCAGACCACAGAUGAAGUGGGAUCGGCUCUUUGGUGAAAUCUAGGCAGUGAGAUGUGUUUUUCCUUUCUCUUUUCUCUUCUCUCUGUUUUUCCUUUUUCCAAUCUCUUUUUGUUUUUGUUUUUUUUUUAUUAUUGUAAUUGACUUGAGUCCCAAGCAUAUGGGGCCCAUUCUCUCACAUACUAGGGAGCCCAACAAAUCUUCCCUUCUAGACUAUGUGAGGGGUUCUACCAAGCCCGCUUGCUUUCUAUAGAAUUAUAGCUUUUCUGUAGGUAUUGGUUUUGUCAUCAUAUCUAAUCCAUUCUCAUCAGUAUGGAUUUUCUCAAGGCAAAACAAUUUCAUCUCUAAUGCAUCACAAAUCCAAUGAUAUCUCACAUCAAUCUGCUUGGAUCUAGAGUGAAAAGUUGGAUUCUUCCUGAGAUGAGUAGCACUUUGACUAUCACAGUAGAGUAGAUGCCUUUCUUGUUGUAAACUCAAUUCUUAUAGGAAAUUCUUCACUAGCUUCAAUGAUAGCAAUCUACUCAGCCUCUAUAGUCGACAAAGCAACACAUUUCUACAACCUUGAUUGUCAUGACACUAUUCCCCCUGAAAAAGUGAUCAAAUAACCAGAAGUAGACUUUUUGGAAUCAACAUCCAUAACCAUAUCUGCAUUUAUGCAUCCUACAAGCAUAGGUUUGUCAGUCCCAAAACAUAAACAUGUCUUAGAAAUACCCCUCAGAUACCUAAAAAUCCAUUUCACUGCGGCCCAGUGUUCUUUGCCAGAAUUAGAAAGGAACCUGCUAACAACUCCAAUAGCAUGAGCAAUAUCAGGCCUCGUGCAUACCAUGGCAUACAUCAAACUACUCAUGGCUGAUGCAUAAGGCACCUUUCGCAUUUCUUCUAUUUUUUUCUCACUUGAAGGAAUUUGUUUGGAACUUAGCUUUAGAUGACUUCGAAGUGGAGAACUCACUGGUUUUGCCUUGCCCAUGUUGAACUUAUCUAAAACCUUCUCAAUAUAGCUUUCUUGAGAUAGCCACAAUUUUUCAUUCGUCCUAUCUCGAGAAAUCUUUAUACCAAGAAUUUGACUUGCUCAACUCUUUUUUCAGUUUAUCGAUUUUACCAGUAUCACGACCAACAAUCAGCAUGUCAUCCAUAUAUAGCAAGAGAAUAAUAAAUUUUCCGUCAGAGAAUUUCUUCACAAACACACAAUGGUCAGAAGCAAUUCUAUCAUAUCAAUACUCAACCAUGAAAGAAUCAAACUUCUUGUACCACUGUCUCAGUGCCUGCUUGAUACUAUACAAGCUCUUCUUCAGUCGAGAUAGUAAGUGUUCCUUGCCUUUGAUUAUAAACCCUUCUGGUUGCUCCAUAUAUAUUUCCUCCUCUAAGUCACCAUGGAGGAAAGCAGUCUUCACAUCAAGCUGUUCAAUCUCUAAAUUCAUACUGGCAAUCAAACCUAACACAACUCAGAUCGAAGAUAUCUUAACCACGGGUGAGAAAAUCUCUUCAAAGCCAAUGUCUUUCUUAUAACCAAAACCUUUCACAACAAAUCUUGCCUUGUACCUUGGCUAUGAUCUGUUUGGUUCAGGAUUCCUUUUCAGUACCCAUUUAUUCUUCAAUGCUCUCUUACCCUUAGGCAACUCCAUCAAUUCAUAAGUGUUGUUCUUAUGCAAGGAUUUCAUCUCUUCAUGCAUAACUCUCAACCACUCUUUUUUCUCAUCAUGCAGUAGAACCUCUUGAUAAUUUUUUGGAUCUCUCCCAUCAAAAAACAAAAAAUACUCAUCACUAGUAUACCUUUUGGAAGGUUGACGCUUUCUAGUAGAUCCUCUUAAUUAUGUUUCAGUAGGCAACUCUGAAGUAGCUUAUCCUUACUGCUAUUCUAGGUCAUCAUUCUCAUUUAUAGGAUUUUCUUCUACAUCAUCAACAACAGACUCAUCAUUUCUGUCAACUAUAUCAACCUAUUCUUCUUGCACAACUUCUUUAUGUUUAUUAUGUCCCAUAGAGUUAGGAAAGACUUGACCCAAAUCAACCUAUUCUUCACUGAAAGGCUUUGGCUUCUUAAUCUGAUCCAAGUCUUCAAUGGUUUGAUCUUCAAAGAAGACAACAUCUCUACUUCUUAUAAUCUUUUUGGCAGUUAGAUCCCAUAACUUGUACCCAAACUCUUCAUUUGAAUAACCCAAGAAGAUACACUGUUUAGUCUUGCUGUCAAGCUUGGACCGCUCGUCUCUAGGAACAUGAACAAAUGUCUUGCAACCAAAAACUCUCAAGUACUCAAAGGAAACAAAUUUUCCUGUCCAAACUCUCUUUGGAAUAUCACCCUUUAAAGGAUAUGAUGGAGACAAAUUAAUCAAAUCAACGGUUGUCCUCAUGGCCUCACCCCAAAAAGACUUAGGCAAUUUUUCAUGAGAAAGCAUACACCUGAUUCUAUCAUAGAUGGUUCUAUUCAUUCUCUCAACUACACUAUUUUGCUGCAGGGUCUUAGGAACAAUCUUCUCAAGCCUAAUUUCAUGACUUCUAUAGUAUUGCUCAAAUGGCCCCUUAUAUUCACCAUCAUUGUCUACUCUGACAGAUUUUAACUGCUUUCCAAUUUGCCUCUCAACUUUCACAUGAAAAUCUUUGAAUACAUCAAGUACCUGGUCUUUGGAUUUCAAAGCAUAUGCCCACACCUUUCUUGAAUGAUCAUCAAUAAAAGUCACAUAAUAAAGUGUGCCACCAAGAGUAUUACUUUGCAUAGUAUAAACAUCAGUGUGAACUAAAUCAAGAAUAUAUGGUUUUCUACGUGAAGGAAAUCUACAAAAUGCAACUCAACUUUGCUUUCCAGACAGACAAUGUGUACAAGGUAAUAGUGACGUACUUUUAACUGGUAGAAGCUUCUUUUUAGCAAGAACCUGAAGUCCCUUUUCACUCAUGUGACCAAGUCGCUUAUGCCAUAACUCAGUAGAGGCUUCAUUCUCAACAAUGUUGACCUCUCCCUUGACUAGUCUUGCUUCUGUGUUGUAGAGGGUAUUAUUUAUCUUCCCCCUAGCAAAAACAAGAGAACCCUUAGUAAGCUUCCACUUGCCCUCUCCAAGGUGACUAUGGUAGCGCUCAUCAUCAAGCUUCCCAACAAAGAUCAAACUAAAGCGCAUUUUAGGAACAUAUCUAACAUUUUUCAGAACCAAUUUGCACCCAAUGCUAGUUUCUAGCUCUAUAUCUCCCAUGCCAACAAUUUCACAUUUUGCUUCAUUACACAUCUUAACCCAACCAAAUCUGCCACUGUUGUAGGAAGAGAAGAAAUCUCUACAUGUAGUGAUAUGAAAUGACGCAGUUGUAUCAACCACUUAAGUGGAAUCCUGGCAUGCAAGGUUUACACACGCAUCAUCACUAACAAUGAUCAUAUCACCAUUAGAUGCAACUACUGCAAUGUCUUUGUCCUCUUUCUAUUCUUCACAUUUUCCUUUAAACUGUUCUCUUCUGAAUUUUCUACACUCUCUCUUAAUGUGCCAUGGCUUGUCACAAUAAAAACAUUUUAUCUCUUUUCAAGACUUUGACUUUCUUCUUGACUUGUCACGAUUAUAAUCACUGGAAGGUUUUUUUAUUUUACUUCUCCCCCACCUCUUUGUAACAAGUGCUUUUGUAUUAGAGGAAAUACCUAACUCUUUUCUUCUUGCCUCUUCAUUAAACAUGCUGUCUUUUACCAUGUUGACAAUUAUCACACCAUUUGGAGUUGAAUUACUCAAGGAUACCACCAAAGUUUCCCAACUGUCUGGUAAGGAACUCAACAAAAGUAAAGUCUGUACCUCAUCAUCUAGCUCAAGCUUCAUGGUAGACAACUCAUUCAACAAUCCUUGAAAAUUACUGAGAUGCUCUGCAACACUAUUGCCAUCCUUGUACUUUUAAUUCACAAGUCUUCUUAUCAUAAAGGCUUUGUUAUGUGCAGUCUUUCUCUCAUAAAGACUUUCUAAUUUUUGCCAAAGGCUAUAUACAUCAACUUCCUUGGCUACAUGAUGGAAGACAUUGUGAUCAACCCACUACCUAAUCUGUCCAAUGGUUUUCCUAUUUAAUUUCUUCCACUCAUCCUCAGUUGUAGUAACUGACUUAUAACCCCUGCAUUCAAUGGGCUCAAACAACUCUUUGCAAUAUAGAAUAUCCUCCAUCCUAGUCUUCUAAAUUGAAUAAUUGAAAGUUGUGAGUUUAAUCAUUCCACUACCAGCCUCCUCCAUUUAAUUCACACAAGAGAUCCCACUGCUAAUCAACUUGGCUCUAAUACCACUUGUUAGGGUGAAUUCACAAUAUUCUAAUAAAUACCAGGAUUUUUCUACCAUUUCUUUGUGUAAAAUUAAAUAGGUAAUAGCAACUAGCAGUAAUCAAUAAAUAAACUCAUGCAACGGAAAAAUAAAUUAGAUACCAAAAUUUUUACGUGGAAAACCCCCCAAUGCGAAGGGAAAAACCACGGGACCUAGUCCAGUUCAAACUUCCACUAUCAACAAUAAUGGGUUACACCUGUCUUCUCUAAAAUAAUCUCUAGAGGCUACCAAAUACAUCAAGAGCAUAUAUAGCCUUGGAUUAUAUAAUCUCUCUUGGAAAAAUAAAAAUAAAAAAAAUUGGAGAAAGAAUACCUAAAAACACAUUGUUACUGUUCACGGGCAGUAACACUAGUUCCCGAGCUCAAAAUCUGAUCUUCACCGUUCAGAUUGUAGCUACUUGAGUUUUGAACCUCUCCUCCAAAUUUCAACUCGAUCGGACCACAGAUGAAGCAGGAUCGACUCUUUGAUGAAAUCUAGGCAGUGAGAUGUGUUUUUCCUUUCUCUCUUCUCUUCUCUCUGUUUUUCUUUUUUCUAAUCUCUUUUUGUUUUUUUUAAAAUUUUUUAUUAUUAUUGUAACGGACUUAGGCCCCAAGCAUAUGGGGCCCACUCACUCACAUACAAGGGAGCCCAACAUAAUAUUCCUUUAAAGAUUUAAAAUCCAGAUAAUUUUUUAUUUUUGUAAAAAAACAACCAAUAUGUUACUUUUUCUACUGUUUGGUUUUUUUUUAAUUCAAUAAAAAAUUUGUAAUAAGUAGUAAAAAAAAAUAGAAAAACAAACAACUUAAAGUCUGAAUACAAAUUACUUUCAGUAAAAAGUAAAAAAAAAAAACAAACACCCUCAUAAACUAAUCACGAGAUUGUUAAUUUGUACUAAGAUCUCAUUUCUUUGUAAUAGAGAUAUAGUACCUUUUUAGACAUUCAUUCAAUUAUCUACAUAUAGCCAUACUUCAAUGAUCCGGAUUUUGAAUUUAUCAUGGUACCAAUUUUGUAUCUUAGAAUUUCUGUUACCAUUAAUCUAGUACUUUUCAAAAACCCUUUAGUUAUAGCAUAUUGUAGGCAUAUCAUACCAUAAUAUUAUAGCAUAAAAGACUUUAAAUUCUAUUUUCAUAAUCGGUUUUAUUAUAUCAUUUUCUCAGGUAAAACUGACAAUGAAAGUCACUUGAGAUUUUAUUAUAAUAUCAUAUAGACCGCAGAUCAAACCAAACGCACAAGGCCAACACGAGCCCAUAGUACGGGCCAGCUCAUACAGAAGUGUCAUUUUCCAGGCACACCCACAAAGUUGAAAAGGAGAGAUGGUUUCACCCAUCACUACUACUCAGUACUCUACACAUAUAUGUUUGAAAGCUCUCACACUCGCUAAUUAACAAUGCUUAGUGCAGAAGCAUCGACGACGAAAGCCACGGCAAUUUCCUCCAUGGAAACCCUCGGUCUGGCAAACAGCAGCACAGUUGCUCUGCCUGACACACGUUCCCUUGAACCGGUGGCUCUGACUCUCACAGGUCCUAGCCUCAGCCACCAUCGGGCCCAUCUCUGCCAAAAUACACAUUGAGAAAUCACAGGACUUUGUUUCAGUAGAAGAUAUAGUAUUCGAUACCCUUAAAAGAACAAUUCCUAAUGAUUAUGUUAUUGAUUCCCACAGAAGACACAUCUUUGUUAAUUUCAUACUAAUGGCAGCUGGAGAUCUAUGGGCAGGAAUUCAAAUCUUGAGAGUUUUAUUAUUAUCAUCAAUCUCCAGUUAAACACAAAAUUUGCUAUAGGAUUUGCUAUAUCUGCCAGAUAUUGUGAUAAUAAAAUUUCAAAACCUUGAUGAGGACUCAAAACUCUAGGAAAUUGUUGGUGUAAAUUAACAUAAGAACAAAAAUCUUUAAUAAAACCCAGGCAUGCAAAUGAAAUUGCUAGGCAAAAUGGCUUAAACCAUGGCUGUGAAUGGACUUCAUUAGGGCUGUACCCAGAAUAUAUGCAUGUCACAAAAUGAUAAAAUGUUCUAAACAUUGUGCAUGAACCCUCAAAAGGAAAACAGAGAAGAGAUAAGAAUUAACCAGUAGCCAUGAAGAGGAGAAUCACAAGGAGAAAAGCUGAAAACAAACGUUGAGAGCCCUUCAUCUUUUGCUUUUGUAUGAGAAGACAGGAGAUAAAGAUGGAAAUGGGGUGAGGAGAACAGCCCGAGGAGGUCUUUAUAUAAGGGUCUGGAACGCUCUAGCUUUGGGACAACCCCACAUGUGUUCACAUUGGCCAUAUCUAUAUGUAUAGCAACGAAAGAUCGAGAAAAAUGUGGAAAGGUUCGCUCUUAUGAAUCAGGCCUAGUCACUCCGCACUAAUGCCACUUUUAUGUUCUUUUGAAAUCCAUUCAUUUGAUCUGUCUUUCAGCUUUCUGUCAACAUCCUCUGGCAUUGCUUUGUACUGAUCUGUCUUUAUGUUUUAUUGGACUGCUUUGUACACAUGCUUUAUGCUAAAUAAUUUUUCUGCUUAAAAUAAAAAAAUAAAAAAAAAUAAAAUAAUAAACUUUAAUUUUCCAAACAUAUUGACAAUUGCUUGAGAAAUGUUUAAAAGUGAAAUAAUUGAAAAUUAAGGAUGAAAGUGAAAAAAAAAAAUGUAAGAUGAAGAAAUCAAUGGUCAAUCCUCUCGAUAAUAAUAUGAAGAAAAUAGACUAGGGUUGAGGAGUAGAAGUUUAUAUUAGGAUCAUUGAAUUGUCUAACCUUUACACGAGUAAAAACAAUUAUCAUUCAUAAAAAAAGGUUUAACAAAUAUCAUAAAAUCGGUCAUUUAAUUUUUAAAUCUCCAAGGGAAAUAAAAAACAAUAACAAAAGAAAUGAAAUAAAAUAAAAGUUUUAGUAUCUCAAAACUUUCUUUUACUUACCCUUUUAUAUAACAUUUCCUUUUAGCUCUUUUAAACAUAUAAAUUUUUAAAAUUCAUAGAUUUUGUGAUCAUCAUGUUGAUCAAACUCUCUUCCAUAUUUCUUAGUUUCUAAUACUGCAAUCCUUGAUAAUAAAUAAAUGGGAACAAAUUUUGUUUAUUUAAUUUCAAGCUACUUUAGUGUUGAUUUAAUGUUGAUGUAGGUAUACAUUAGAUGUAUUAGAGCAUUAGAAACGACUUCAAGUAUUAAUUAAAAGCAGAGAACGUCGAAAAAUGGAGUCAAACACAUGAAAAUAUGAAUGGACAUUCAAACAUCAUGAACAAGGAUGUCAAAAAAUGGAAUCAAACAUGUGAAAAUAUUAAUGGAUUUCGAACACCAUGAACAAGGACAUCAAAAAAUGGAGUCAAACAUCAUGAACGAGAACAUUCAAACAUCCAUACAACGUAAUAUCUAUUGGGAUAAAGUUCUUAAAAGCAUAAUAUGAUAUAAUAAUAAAUGGAUUUCAUUAAUAUUUAUAUUAUGAUUCUCAUUUUUACUUUCACUAUCCUAUUUAUAAAUUGUGUAUGAUAAGCAUUCAAGCAUGGAUUAGUUGUAUUAUACAUGACUUGGGUACAUUAGUAGUUACAUAGAAAAUCCAAGUCAUGAGUUCCUUAUAAGUAGACAAGUUGUUUACAUAUAGUUCAUGGACUUGGACAAUUCAUCUAAUGUUAUAGAAUACUACCUCAUAAUUAGAAUGAUGGCUUAUCUUGAUCAUCAGAAUAAAUUUCUCAUGGUCAGUACACUAAUGUGUAUGAUUACAAAUUGGAUAGCAACUAUGGUGAAUUAUGACAUAGAUUAUCAAGUAGUCAUGAUUUACUAAACUACUAUACUACAUAAACUCUUAACCUUGAGACAAUAUCGAGCUAGUGUUACAAUCUUCAAUGGCUUUGACCAAUGGGUAAGAGAUUAAAGUAGUCAUAUAUUCCCUAUUGAUUUAGUCACUAUUGAUUAAGGCAUGUGACAAGAGGUAUUCUCAAGAUACGCACCAUGAUAUUUCAUGAGUUUGAUACAGUGUGUCCCUUUAGUUGAUUCUAAGGAUAUGUGUUCAUUAAUCUAUGGUUAUAGUAAUUUCUUAAAUAUAACUUAAUAUAUGCUCUUAGAGAGUUAGAGUAUAUUAGUUGAUGAUAUUAUAGGAGGAUUUGAUACUCAAUGAUGCUAGAAGUAAUCUUAAGAGGUUGAUAGCAUUCACCUUGUUAAACCAUAAACUUAAUUCAUAGGAAGCUUACAUGCAAUCUUAGUAUGUCACAGACCUGAGUUUUUUUAUCUUAAUCUAAUAUCAUGGGAUAUUAAAGUGCAAUUGACUUUCUAUUGUGAGAUAUUCAAUCAACUUCAAAUUGGACUUUAAGAGAACUAAUAUUUUCUUAUGUGUCUCAAUGGUCCCAACUCAAGCACAUAUUCUUAGGUGGCUCAUUAUUUGAGGGAUAUUUAGGCUUUUUAUUCAUAUGUGUACAUAAGGAUGUUUGGUAAAUAUGUAAGGUUACAUAAGAGCUUAUGAAUGGUUUUUCUAGAUUAAGCUAAAUAAUUAAUUUGAACCCAAUAGGGUUAAUCAAUUACUUAGGACCAAAUAAGUUAGAUUAAGUAACUCAAUCCUAAGAUAAGCUCAAGAAAUUUAAGGGCACAAGCAAGCCUAUAUAAACCUUCUUAAGGGUUUAGGGUUAAGAGUUUUAUCAUUCACUCUUCCAAAAAGAGGAAUUCUAGCCUUCAUCCCCACAGAGAGGACUCCACCAUCCUCACAUGCUAAGGUCUAGGAGAGAGUCA